rnacentral:lncRNA from 1 species
UCACAAAGCACAAUUGCAAGAAAUGGGAGCCUCGGAACAGCCGAGGCAAUGGCCUCUAUUGAUUUCUUCCUUGGCAUUUUUGCUCAUAGCCACUACUGCCACGGCUGCUUAUGAGCCUUACAUUUAUGCCUCACCACCUCCACCGCCUUACUAUUACAAGUCACCACCACCACCAGAAUAUUCUCCACCACCACCUUACUACUACAAAUCUCCACCACCACCUGAGAAGUCUCCCCCGCCACCUUACUACUAUCACUCACCACCUCCUCCUAAGAAGUCACCCCCACCACCUUACUACUAUAAGUCUCCGCCUCCGCCGAAGGAAUAUCCCCCACCACCUUACUACUACAAGUCUCCGCCACCACCGGAGAAGUAUACCCCGCCACCUUACUACUACAAGUCUCCGCCCCCACCCGAGAAGUAUACCCCGCCACCUUACUACUACAAGUCACCGCCCCCUCCGCCACCUUACUACUACAAGUCUCCGCCACCACCGGAGAAGUAUACCCCGCCACCUUACUACUACAAGUCACCGCCCCCACCCGAGAAGUAUACCCCGCCACCUUACUACUACAAGUCACCGCCCCCACCGGAGAAGUAUCCCCCUCCACCUUACUACUACAAGUCACCGCCCCCACCGGAGAAGUAUCCCCCUCCACCUUACUACUACAAGUCACCGCCCCCACCAGAGAAGUAUCCCCCUCCACCUUACUACUACAAGUCACCGCCCCCACCAGAGAAGUAUCCCCCUCCACCUUACUACUACAAGUCACCGCCCCCACCAGAGAAGUAUCCCCCUCCACCUUACUACUACAAGUCACCACCGCCACCAGAGAAGUAUCCCCCUCCACCUUACUACUACAAGUCACCACCGCCACCACCUUAUUAUUAGAAGUCUCCUCCACCUCCCUCUCCAUCUCCACCCCCUCCAUACUACUAUAAGUCGCCACCUCCUCCUUCUCCAUCUCCACCCCCACCGUACUAAUAUUUGUCUCCUCCACCUCCUAAAGGCUACUAAAUAUACAAUGUGUUGUUGAAACAUGUGUGAUCUUAGUUAUGUAAGAAUAAGUGUAAGUUUGUAAGCUUGUUCUAUUUCUGAUUUUUUCUUCAUCAAUGUUUUUGUGAAUAAAAGGAUUUGAGAUGGUAAAUCCAUUUGUAAGAAGUGCUGCUCAUUUUCGUUGUAAAAGUUAUUGUAAGCAAUAAGAUCUCGUAAUUUAAGGUUUCAUAAAAGUUAUAUGUGCAACUACUUUCAAUUUCCAUUGUCAUCUUUUUCACAACCACCAAGCGUAUUACUUCUUUAUAGAUGGAAAAUGCAGAGGCAAGCUUAUUAUUCUUUAAUAUUACCAUUCUUGAUGUGUUUGUUUAUUUAGUUGAAACGGUAAAUAAAAUGUACAUGAAGUACCGCACUGCAUCCAAAUUAAAUUUAGGAUAUAGACUAAGUUCAUGUAAUCUCAAUUUUGUCACAUUAUUAUUGGAUUUUAUAUAAAUAGCUAAUUUCUUUUCCUUCCGAAUUUCGACGGGAAGGAGAAUUUAUUAAGUAAUACAGAGAAGUGCACCUAGUAAUAUUUAAAGAGGAUAUAAUGAGCACUACCUUUCAUGAUGAUAAUGCCCAUGAACAAGUAAGAGAAGCUUAGAGUUUUAUUCCUACUCAAAUCAGAUUCUACGGAGGAGUUAUAUUCGUACCUUUUUAACGCUUUACAUAUAUGAUUAGAGAAUUAUGAGGACAUAAAUUCCGCUAUAAAUUUGUUGUUAUAUUUAGAGGAGUUUACAUGACUGGAGAAUUAUACACACAUAAAUUCUUUGAUGUCCAUUUUAAAUUAUAUUCCAAAAGGGAAAAUGUUUUCCGUUUAUGGUUUAAAAAUAGAAGCUUUGUGCUUUUUUUUUUUAAAAAAAAAAUCUAGAUCAUUCAGUGAAUAUUGGUUGUUAAUUUACUGCCAAAAUACUCGUAAGUUUAUUUAUUUAUUCUGUAAUGCAACUUUUGGGAUACAUAAUAAUCAUAUAAAUAAAUAAACUAUAUUGUAAUAUAUUUCAAUUAACUUGUUGACUUGUAUGAAAAGAGCGUGUCAUUACCUUUUAUGCCUAAUUAAAUUUACAAUUUUAGUCCCUAUGAUUUUUUUUUUUCAAUCAUUAAUUCCAUGCUCUUAUGAGUAGAAACAUAUGUAGAAUUUUGAUAUUUAAGAGUUGGUGGAGUUUCUAUGAUAUUUUGUACCUGUGGCUCAUCAUUUCACCACGGUGGGCAACUUCAUGGAUUUUGUCCUCUAAAAGGUAGCACUCUAACUUAAGAUGCCAUGUUCUUCAGAAAGUUAUCAAAUAGUUGAAUAGUUAUAUUAAGUUUAUUAUUGAUAAGAAUCUUAAUUAACUAGAUAUAGUACUUAAUAUACAAUGUUUUAUUCGUGAAAUUGUUGAACUAUUUUCACCAUUUUUCAAUGUCAUUUUCAGGAUGAGCUAUCAUUUGGAAUUUCAUUUUCUAUGGACUCUCACUUUUUCCCAUAACCACUUUUUUUGUUUAUAUUUUAUCAGAUUAAUUAUUCCUUGUUUGUUUAGAAGGAGCUUUCAUAUUGGAGAAAUACAUUACGUAUCUUAUAAAUCUAUGCAUCUUUACCUUUUUUUUUCCCAAAAUAAUUAAAAAAAAAAAAACCUCACCAAUGACCAAUCCAAUGUUCAAUAUGAAAAGUUUGAAGAAAAAAUGGUGUGAACUAAAACAAAAUAUAUAAUUUUGUCACAAUCCAAGAAAAAAAAAUCAUUAUAAAAUAUAAUUAAGAGGUAGCCACCUUCUCUACAUCAAUUUGUCACAAAACUAUAUCAGUGAGAUAUAUGCAAGACUCACCCAUUGGUACAAAAGAAAAUGAUCAAAGUGGAAGCAAAAAUGUGGUGAUAAUUUAGAUGAUCUCCACUCCCCAUUUAGUUUCAUUUAUUAAGUUAAUGUUUAAUCAAGAGUCUAAUUACUCAUUUUAUUAUGUUAUUAAUCAACUGCCGCCCCUUCCACUGGUUCAUUAUUUUUUAUGGAAUACAAAAAACAGACAAUAAUAUUCUUUGACAUAGCUAGGAAUAUAGCCCACUUGCAAGAGACUUACAUUCCAUCGCUCCCUAAUUUCCCGUGUAACAUCUUAUCUUGCAUCACAUCAGAGACGUGUUCGUUUGCACAGCCAUUUCGUGAAUAUAAAAUUGCUGCCGAAUAAGCAUCUAAUCAAAAGAAUUUGUCAACGGUAUAAAUUAAAAUAUAAAAAACGAGUAAAAGAAUUUGUCAAUAGGAUAUGGGAGGCCAUGGCUUCAAUCGGUUUGUGCAAUGGUCAAUGGCAUAUUUUUGCUCAUCGUCACCACUGAAUCCACUGAUCAUUUGUGCAUGUGAGUUGUUUUUGAGCAUUUAUUUUUCCCUUUAGAAGCAUAAGGAUAAGGCUAGUCUUCUUUUUGGGAGGACUUAUUGCUUCCAUUCGUUAAAAUUGGGCAUGUAAAAUGUCAAGAAAAAAUGGCCUAAGUGGCUAGCUAGAUGAUAUAAUGGAUGGUUACUACUCAAACCUAGCAAUAAAUGAAUGUCCGACAAGCAUUCAAAUGAAUGAAUAAAACCAAUCAGAUUAGAAUAUCUAUUUAUGAUAGAUUAAUGAAAAUACGAUUCAAAUAUAAGGUAAAUAAUCUCUCCAUUAAUUUUUUAUUGUUUCAGGCAGGGUUGCCAAGCCUCUGUCCGGGCUUCUAUAAGCUCAAUUCCAGCUCUCCUAUAUGAUUGAAUUAGAUCGGGCUAGGCCCUCGGACUUUUUAAUUAAAAAAGGUCGAUUUUUAAGUUUAUGAAGUUAAUACACUCACGCUUAUACUUUAAUAUUUUUAUUAUUUGGCUUUUAGAAUAUUAACGUGUAAAUUACUUUUUUUUUUCAAGUGAAAUAAUUAUCACAUUUUGUCUUCUUAGUAUAUAUUUCUACCUUUUUGUUCCUAUAGAUAUUUCCUCAUUUCAUCUUUGGUACUAGAGCGUAGUAAAAAAACACAUGAUUAAAGAUAAAUAUGACAUUUUAACUAACAAAUUAAUUAUUUGUAUCUAAGAUCUAGCUCUAGUGGUAAAGAUCAAUUUUCAUCGAAUUCAAGUCUUGGGUUUGAAUUUAAAUGCAUGGGUAAGUUAAUAAUAAUAAUAAUAAUAAUAAUAAUAAUAAUAAUAUCAAAUUAACUAGCUUUAAUUUGCAAAGGUCUUAGAUAAUCAAUUCGCUUGUAAAAAUAUCAAAAUUUUUUUUAAUCAAUGAAAUUUUCAAGUCUCUAGUUUUAGCACAAGGAAUGAAUUAAAAGAGUAAUGAUAAAUAUUUUACAAUUUUAUCCCAAAUGAUAAGACAUGUCAUGUGUCAUGUAUUAAGUGAUUGAUGAUUUUUUUAUAAAUUUUAAGUGGAUGAAAUAUAUUAUUUCACCAACCAGUAAAUGAAUAUGACAUCAUUUGAGAAGGAAUUUUAUGGUACAAUUUUGAAAUAUUUAUCACUACUCAAUUAUAUACAGUAUAAAAAAUCUAAUAGGGACCAAAAAUAUAAAAACAGAUUAAGAAUAAAAAAUAUAAAAGUCAAUUCCUAAUUAGGAGAAUGAAAGUGUCAUUCCCCUGUAAUCAUUUCACUAGAUAUUAUGUAAAUAUAUUAAGGCAAAAUUUUAAUAGAAAAUUGGUACCCAAACCUAACGUCUUUGACAUUGCUGCCAAGAUCACUCACAACUUACAAGAAUAAAAAAUUGGUAUUAAAUUUAUUAAUGUUCUCAAGGAAUUUUUAGCUUGACUUUACAUUUCUCGGACCCAUUUGUCACAUAACACCUUAGUUCGUUAACAAAGCCCUUUCAUGAGAAUAUUAGAACUGCUGUCGAAUAAGCAUCUUAACAACCCCUUUUUGACAUACAUGCAUGCCUCCUUCUGUGAACAAUUUGAAACAUAAAAUAAAAUUUCAAUCGAUGUGAGGGUUGGAGUAUUUUAUAGCUUUUGACCUCAUUAAUUAUGAGUAAGAGAAUAUUUCUACGUCACUAAUGGUUAAAAUGAUCACUAUAUAAAGGGUAGCAAAGUAUGUUUAACAUCAAGUCAGAAAACACAAUUUUUAGGAAAUGGGAACUCGGGGACAAGCGAGGCAAUGGCCUCAAUUGUUUUGUGCUAUAGCAUUUUUGCUUAUAACCACCACCACCAAGGCAUCGGCUGAUGAUUAUGCCUCAGCACCACCACCAAAGUAUUCUUCUCCACCUCCUUACUACUACAAAUCACCACCUCCUCCUUCUCCCUCUCCACCUCCACCAUAUUAUUACAAGUCUCCCCCACCACCAUCUCCGUCUCCUCCACCACCUUACUACUACAAGUCACCACCACCACCAGUGCAUUCUCCCCCGCCACCUUAUUACUACAAAUCUCCGCCGCCACCAAAGUAUUCUCCCCCGCCACCUUAUUACUACAAAUCUCCACCGCCACCAAAGCAUUCUCCCCCACCACCUUACUACUACAAAUCUCCACCGCCACCAAAGCAUUCUCCUCCACCACCUUACUACUACAAAUCUCCACCACCACCAAAACACACCUUACUAUUAUAAAUCACCACCUCCACCAAUGAAGUCUCCACCUCCGCCAUAUUACUAUAAAUCACCACCACCACCAAAGCAUUCUCCCCCGCCACCUUACUACUACAAGUCUCCACCACCACCAAAACAUUCCCCACCACCACCUUACUACUAUAAGUCACCGCCUCCACCAGUAAAGUCUCCACCACCGCCCCCAAAGCAUUCUCCCCCACCACCUUAUUAUUACAAAUCACCACCUCCACCAGUGAAGUCUCCACCUCCGCCACCUUACUAUAAAUCACCACCACCUCCAAAGCAUUCUCCCCCUCCACCUUACUAUUAUAAAUCACCACCUCCACCAAUGAAGUCUCCACCUCCGCCAUAUUACUAUAAAUCACCACCACCACCAAAGCAUUCUCCCCCGCCACCUUACUAUUAUAGAUCUCCACCACCACCAAAGCAUUCUCCCCCACCACCUUACUACUAUAAGUCACCACCUCCACCGAAGAAAUCCCCACCUCCACCAUAUUAUUAUAAGUCGCCACCACCACCAAAGCAUUCUCCCCCACCUCCUUAUUAUUACAAAUCUCCACCACCACCAAAGUAUUCUCCACCACCACCUUACUAAUACAAAUCUCCACCAACGCUAUCUCUAUCCCCACCUCCAUCUUACAUUUAUAAAUUCCCACCUCCACCAUCUAUAUCACCUCCACCACCACCUCCAUCACUGUCACUAUUGCCUCGCUACUGUUCCAAGUCAUCACCACCUCCUGAAGACUACUAAGUUCAAUGUUCCGUCUUCAAACAAAUUUAAAAUUCAAUAAGAAUAAAUUUGUUCCUUCAGUUGCCUUUUUCAUGAAUUUUUAUGUUAAUGUUUUUACGAAUAAUUUUUAAGAAGCGUUCGGUGUAUCAUUGUCAUGUGCAAUAAAAAUUUUCUAACUUAAUGUACCCAAAAAAAAAUGUUCCACAAGAAAUAUUCUAUUGUUUUAUCACAAAUGUGUUGUGGCACAUGUAAUGCGCCUAGAUAAAGUAAUAUUAUGUCUUGAUGAACAAUCAUGCACAACAAUGAUCAUGUACAUAGUUCUUCCAAUGUCAUGAUAAUGUCCAUGCACAUAAUAACAAACUUCUUCCUUGUAAUAUCAAAGAAAAUGAAUAUACAAGCCUCUUAUUCUCUAAUCAUUCACUCAAACAACAUUGUUUUAAUUUAGGUUUUGAUCAAUCUUAAUGCUCAUAAAUGCUAACUACAAAUCAUAUACAAGAUCAACAAAAACCAUAUUUUAAAUGAAUUAGAAAAACAAACAUUAGACUUAACCAAGUAGUUAACCUUUAUUAUUCUCCUAGGUAGAUUACAAGCUAUCACUGAAAAAAAAAAUCAUCUAAAAUGGUGAACAAAUGCGCUCUAAAUCAGUUGCAUUCAUUUGUUCAGCUAAGCAAUAAAAUAACCCUUUUCCAUUUUAACUUAUAUACUUUGGCAUGGUAACUUUAAAUAACACCCUCAACUUGACAAAUUUUAAUAACCAAAGCGAUCAAUAACUGUAAAUCUUGACAAAAUUUUUUACUUUAGUUAAAGCCAUAAACAUAGUAUUAAAUAAAAUGAAAAAAAAGGCCAUAAACAUAGUGUUGAAAUACCUUUAUACUUGUGAACUAACUUUUGAUGUUGAUUAAGCUCAUGUACCCUCAACUUUUGUAUUAUGAAUAUGCUUAUGCCCUAUCUUAGGUCUCCUCUAUGAACUCCUCCAUGAACCACUUUUUUUUUUUUUUUUAAAAAAUAAAUUCAUUAUGAUACUAAGGUAUAAGCAGAAGUAAAAUUCCUUUAAUAUUAUUGUAAUCAGGAUGUGGCUACCUAGGUGAUACAUGAAUUGGUUAUUUGUACAUUUUACUACAUUUUUUUGAGUUUGCUUGCUAUUUUUCUCUUUGUUCCAAUAAUUCCCACACGAGGAUAAUCUCAUUUUAACAAAGAAAGAUACUACUGAAAUACAACAAAACAUAAAUUCUAAUAUACUAGAAAAUUUUUUUUUCUUUGCCUUUUCAUAUCUUAGAGUUAUGUUUUUAUCCUCUUGUAGUGGCAUAUAUGCAUUUUAACUAGAAUAUUCUUAUUUGAGAAUUAUUAAUAAGAGAGUGGUAGACAAAUGAUACAAAACUAUGCUGCUUCACGAUUAACAACACAUUCAAUCGAGUAACGAUAGAGAGUCAAUUCUAACACCACGAGAAAGCAAACAAAAGUUGAAAUAUUUUAGCGAAUACCUUUUAAAGUUUGAAUUAAUAAUAAAAUUGUCCCAAAAAACUGCCUUAAUGGAAUUAAUGUGGAGAUUUAGUGGUAGGGUGCAUCAAUAUCAUUUUCCAGAAAAAAAAUAGUCAAAAUAUGAAAGGUUUGUUCUGCAGGUGGUUGAUAUUGCUGUACAUUAAUAUCAAUGAUACGUACCAAAUUCUAUUAUAAAAUUCAUUAAUGUAUAAGUAGAAUAUUUAAUAAAUUAAUUCCGGGUAAAACGUCGGUGAUAUGAACAGUAGCGAAGCUGCAACCGGGUUAGCUUUUUUUUUUAAUAAAAAAAUAGUUAAUUAUAAUUUAUGAAUUUGCCUUUAUUAAUACUUAAAAAAAUAAAAAUAAAUUUAAUAGCCCACCCCGAUGCUAGCUAAGCUAAAAAUAAAAUAUAUCGAAUAAAUGGUGAAGAGAAAGCUGUAAUAAUUAUCGUAAUUACAGUGAGAAGCUGUAAUUUUCUUGAACACGCUUUGACGUACGAUUAGCAAAAAAGUCGUCUGUCUAUAAGCAAUUGGCCGUACAGCAUCUUAACUAUUCCGUUGACAUUGUAAUUAAUUAAUUGAUGACUUUUCUAUAAUUUCUUUGAACCAAAUGCAGAUAUUUAGUGGGCAACCCGCAACCCUUGCUUGGCAAAAUAUAGGAAAGAAAAACUUGAAAUUUAUAAAUGUUACAUUUUGUUUGGAUGAAUAAUUUUGAGAUAAUGUUUCAGUUUUAGAUUUUGUUACCGAUACCUAAUUAUAAUAAUAAAAAAUAUUGCAUCAUUUUUUUACCAACAGUUACAAUACAUUUUAUUUUUUUUUCUUCUCAAUAUUUAAACUCGAAUAAUCAGUUAAAAGUUGCUCGAGAAUGUUUAAAAGCCAUUUAAGUAUACCACGUCAUUCAUGUUUUGCAAUCAUUCAAUUGUUAAUAAGUUUCCCAUGUGCUGAAAAUAAAUAAAAAUGCACGUGCAUAUGUCAUAUUGUCUCCGAAACCUCACAGCGGAAUGAGUGUAGUACUUGCAAUGCAUGUACUUUAGACUUUGUAUUUCUCUUAUUUAAAUGAUCAAUAAUUUUUCUUUGUCCUUUAAUUAGACGUCAACAGUCGAAGUUGUGGGCAAGUAGUAGGCUAUAUAUAAUAAUUUCCUGGAGAUCUUCCGUCUUCUAAGACAUUGCAAAUGCCAAACGUGAUAACUAUUUUGAUAAUUCAAAUACUACAUAAAAUAUAUGAAGUGUCAGACAAGUCAAAAGAAUUGAUUCUUCACAAUUGUAUAUACGUAUACACACACUUUGCCCAAAUCCCAUUGUAUCCAGGCUGUAAUUUUUAUAUUAAACGAACAUAUUUUAUUUUAUGUCAGCAAUAUUGAUGCAGGCUGGUGGAACAACAGCUUCAGGAUGGUCAACUACCCUUCGGAUCAUUGCAAGUGGGAUGGCAUCACUUGCAAUUCAGAUGGAACCAUAAUCGGGCUAAAAUUAUCAGGGUAUGAUGUUGACUUCAAAAGGUAGUCUUCGUAAAAUUAUCAUGGUAUAAUAUACGUAUUUAUUUUCGCAUACAUAAAUAAAUAACAAAAUUGUAAUUAAUUGGAUACAACUUCAGCUUUUGGACUGGUUUGUGAAAAUCGGAAAAAUUUAAAAAUGCUCCUCUUGAACAAUCAAAAUCUACUUUAUACGUGAACAAAGGGGAUGAUUCGUAAAGAUAAUUCAUCAAUGUUUGAUUACUUUCAGAAAGAUAGACUUCAUUUGAUCUCGUCCCAAAGCAUAAUUUCACUUUGAAUUUGAAAAAGAAUAAUGAAGUUCAUACGAUGCUGUUGUGACCUUUUUUUUUUGUUUUCUUUUUUUCUCGACGUUGUUUUGUGAAUCAUAAGGGUUAAUUUAGUACGGUGGGUUCGCUUGUAUGAAGCGUACUUAUUGUACCAUUCUGUUGCAAGUAAUGAAAAAACGCUAUAAUUUUUUUUAGGUUUCUACAAGUAUUAUGUUAUCUUAUAUCUAACUGUGCAUCUCUAUUCUUUGCUCUCAGUUCAGGUUCUCUAAAAGUAUAUUAAUUAUGAAAAGCAUUAAAGGUUCCGAAACUCUAUUUUGCGGGGAAAAAGAACCUCCAUUUUUGGUUUUUUAUUAUCAUAAGAGGUUUUACUAUGCUCGUAAUAACUUAAUCGAAAUUAAACAUAUCACUGGUCUACAUUUUUUUAUCAGAUUUUGUGCCUUGCUAAUUAAGAUGAGUAUCACCAUCAAAUCAACAAGCUUAUACCUUCAAAGAAAAAUAGACUAUAAGUCGGGAGAAAGAAGAAGAAAAAAAAAAAGAAGCUUCGCAAUUUAUGCUGUUGGUUGUGAGUUCAUGAAACAAAUAAAAAUAUGAAAUCAAACAUUUAUUCAAAAUUUAAAAUUAAAAAAAAAACUCUAUAUCUACAGUAAUCUGUUCAAACCACAUAGGUGGAGCAAUAUAGUUCCAAGACGUGGUUUUAAAACAUGUCUUUGUGAUAAACAAUAUCGUGAUACUUGCGCCAAUUCCCAUGGCAAUAAUUGCCUACAUUUAUCCAAGAUCCAUGGCCAGGUUUAGAAUGUGCUAGUCUUCUUUCACUUUCAUAAAUAACCACUACUAGGUAAUCAGAGUGUCGGUCUAAAUUUUUCGGAGAUACAACGUCAAUGUAUGUGCCCGGAGUUGAAGCUGAACGCGCUUAAAUAUGUUCGGAAUUUGAAGUUGAACGCCUGGAAAAGGAUGCAGACUGAAGAAAGGCAAUUCCUGGAAUUUGUCUUUGGUAAGAAAACAUGGCUGCUUAUGCCCUUUGAAAGACUGAAGAAACCAAAUUGAUUAUUGCUGCAAUUUAGUGGCACAUGUACGAGGAGAGGCAUCCAAUUAAACUUGUUCAUAAAAGUAUUGCUGAUAGUUGCAGCCGAUCUCCAGACAAAAUCUUCGUACAAUUUUAUCCGCCAGCAAUUUCGACCAAGAGACCUUGAUGCAGUUCAGACCAAUUCGCCAGUUGAACAUCAAGUUGCCUAGGCAUUGAGAAUUAGGUCAAUAAAAUAUAUCCUGGGUCACUUACAAAAGAUGAAAUAAGUGAAAAAGGAAAGAUGACGUAAUAAUUUCUUAGUGAGAAAAGUUAGUUAAUUUUCAAUUGCUUUCAUUGUUUUGAUAAUUUUCAAAACAUUUCAUUGCUUUCAUUGCGUAAUUAAGCUUUUUUUGCUUCAAAAUAUUUCAAAUUGUGUUUGUGGGACUACUAAACAAUUAGGACACAACAAUGUUUCGUUCUGGUCUUUUUUUUUUUUUACUUUUUAAUUUAUUUUAAGAAAAUCUUUGUCCAUCUCUCAUCCUGCCAAAUAUAUCGUCUCGUCUUGUUAUCUAGAAUAAUUCUUCAUGCAUCAAUGAGUUUUGACAAAUUUUUAUCUUUUAAAAGUUGUUGUAAUUCAAUAUAGCUAAAAUCUUAAAUACAUACAUGUAGAAUAAUCUAAGCAUUACCUUAUUCGGGGAAAAUCGAGAUUAGAAUCAAUCAAAGCAAUGAUACCUUAUAUCAGUGAGAUAUAUGCAAGACUCACCCAUUGGUACAAACGAAAAUGAUCAAAGUGGAAGCAAAAAUGGAAUCCUCAAAUGUGGUGAUAAUUUAGAUGAUCUCCACUCUCCAUUUGGUUUCAUCUAAUAAGUUAGUGUUUAAUUAAGAAUUUAUUACUCAUUUUAUUAUGAUAUUAAUCAACUGCCGUCCCUUCCAUUAGUUCAUUAUUUUUGAUGGAUUACGAAAGACAGACAAUAAAAUUCUCCAAAACUGUUGUAAGAGUAAUAUUGUAAAAGUUACAUAAAAGUGAGGAUAAGGAUAAUUUGAGGUAUGUUUCAAGAUAUAAAGAUUAAAUAAAUUCUUAACUCAAAAUAAAGAGAUUUAUUUUUUUUAAAAGAGAUUAAAAUGUCAUGAUAAAUAAAUAAGGGAGGUGAUAUUCUGGGCUCUCCCCUGGCUUUUUGUGAUAACAUCUUAAAUUAAUAUAAAUAGUUAAAAUUUUAUUAAAAAAUAAAUUUUUACCUAAUACUCUUUGACAUAGCUAGGAAUAUAGCCUACUUGCAAGAGACUUACAUUCGUUUGCACAGCCCUUUCGUGAAUAUAAAAUUGCUGCCGAAUAAGCAUCUAAUUAAAAGAAUUAGGAAUUUGUCAACGGUAUAAAUUAAAUAUAAAAAACGAGUAAAAGAAUUUGUCAAUGGGAUAUGGGGGGCUAUGGCUUCAAUCGUAGGGGUGGGCAAAUUUCGGAUUCCGAAUCCGAUCGGAUUUUGGAUAAUUCGGAUUGGGAAAAAAUCCAUCCAAAUUCAAUCCGAACCUUAAAUCUGUUUCGAUCCGAGAUAAUUUCGGAUCCGGAUCAGAUUCGGAUGAGUUUGAAUUUCAGAUUAUAUUUCAAGUUCGGAUUAUAUUUUGGAUUCGGAUUAAUUCGGGUUUGGGACCUUUUUACAAUUCUCACAAAAAAAUUAUGAAAUUUAUAAUUAAUGAAAAAUAAUUUCCAUGAUGCUGUCAACAAUAAUUAAUAUUUUGAAAACGCAAUAACGGAAUUUUCAAAAAAAAGAAAAAGAAAACACAGGAACGGUAUUGAUAAAGAAUUUUCAUUAGCCAUUUGUGACUGCUAACUAAAUUGUAACAACUAAGUAAAAUAUAAUAAUAAUAAUAAUACAUGCGGGUAUAUUCAAAGCAACUAAAUCACUUGCGAAUGAUCAAGACAAAUCGUAUAAACAAGUAAAAAAUUCAAAGUUUCAAACGCAAAUCGUCGGGGGCUAUCGGAUUAGUGGAUUACCAUUAACAAGACGAGGUUUAUGUCGGUGUGAGUUGCUCAUUGUGGGUCUGGAUGAUGUCGCGAUGGCUGGGUUUGUGCCAACUAUGAUCCAGCUAGGUUUGUAUCGAAUCUGAUCUCGUCUAGAGGACGUUGUGGCGGCUGGGUUUGUGUCGAAUUCAUUCGGUUUGUCUCGUCGGCGACAUGGUUGUUGGUUGGCUCGUCAGGUUGUGGCCCGUGGGUGUGGUGUGGUUUGUUGUCGUGGAUUGACUUAUCAAAGGGCGUGCGACGAUGGUGUGUGGUUUUGUCAUUUGGAAAUUGAGUUUUGAUUUUUCAUUUUCGUUUUUUUAAAAAAAAAUUUUUGGAUUAUUCGGAUUGAACUGAAUCUUAUCCGAUCCAAAUCAAAUCCGAUCAGAUUACAAAAAUUUCAUCCGAUUGGAUUUUAAAGCAAAUCCAAAUCCGAUCCGAACAAAUUCGGAUCGAAUUGGAUUAGAUCGGAUCUAUCCGAAUCUGAUCCAAUGUCCACCCCUAUUCAAUCGGUUUCUGCAAUGGUUAAUGGCAUAUUUUUGCUCAUCGUCACCACUGCAUUCACUAAUCAUUUGUGCACGUGAAUUGUUUUUGAGCAUUUAUUUUGCCUUCGUUAAAAUUGGGCAUGUAAAAAUUUCAUGAAAAAUGGCCAAAGUGGCUGGCUAGGUGAUAUAAUGGAUGGUUACAACUCAAACCUAGCAAUAAAUGAAUGUCCGACAAGCAUUCAAAUGAAUGUAUAAAACCAAUGAGAUUAGAAUAUCUAUUUAUAAUAGACUAAUUAAAAUACGAUUCAAAUAUAAGGUAAAUAGUCUCUCUAUUAAUUUUUUAUUGUUUCAGGUAGGGUUGUCGAGCCUUUGUCCGGGCUUCUGUAAGCCCAUUUCCAGCCCUCUUAUAUGAUUGGAUUAGAUCAGGCUCGGCCCACCAGGCCGGGCUAAAUCUUGAGCUCUUUUUAAAUAAAAAAAAGUUGAAUUUUAAGUUUUUGAAGUUAAUAUAUAUACACACACACUUGUACUUAAAUAAUUUAUAAAUUUUUUAAAAGCCAAAUAAUAAAAAUAUUGACAUGUAAAAGUACAAUUUUUUUUUCAUGUGGAAUAAUUAUCUCAUUUCUACCUUUUUGGUCCUAUAGAUAUUUCCUCAUUUCAUCUUUGGUAUUAGAGCAGUAGUAAAAAGACACACGAUUAAAGAUAAAUGUGACAUUUUUACCGACAAAUUAACUAUUUGGAUCUAAGAUCUAGCUCUAAUGGUAAAGACUAGUUUUUAUAGAAUUCAGGUCCUGGGUUUGACUUCCAAUUGCGUGGGUAAGCUAAUAAUAAUAAUAAUAAUAAUAACAAAUUAACUAGUUUUAAUUUGCAAAGGUCUUAGAUAAUCAAUUCGUUUGUAAAAACAUCAAAUUUAUUUUCAGUAAUGAAAUUUUCAAGUCACUGGUUUUAGCACUAGGAAUGAAUUAAAUAGAGUAAUGAUAAACAUCUUAAAAUUUUAUCCCAAAUGAUAUGACAUGUAAUGUGUCAUUUAUUAAGUGGUUGGUGAUUUUUCAUAAAUUUUAAGUCGAUUAAUUAUAUUAUUUCACCAACCAAUAAAUGAACAUCACAUCAUUUGAGAAUGAAUUUUAAGGUAAAAUUUUAGAUAUAUAUCAUUACUCAAUUAUUUUUUAUAGUAUAAAAUCUAAUAGGGACCAAAAAUAUAAAAACCAAUUAAGAAAAAAAAAGUCAAUUCCUAAUUAGAAGAAUGAAAGUGUCAUUCUCCUAUAAUCAUUUCUCAAGUUUUUAUAUAAAUUUAUUAAUGCAAAAUUUUAAAAGAAAAUCGGUACCUAAAACUAACGCCUUUGACAAUGCUGCCAAUAUCACUCACAACUUACAAGAAUAAAGAAUUUGUAUUAAAUUUAUUAAUGUUCUCAAAGAAUUUUUAGUUUUGACUUUACAUUCUCAGACCCAUUUGUCACAUAACAUCUUAGCUGAUUAACAAAGCCCUUUCGUGAGAAUAUUAAAACUGCUCUCGAAUAAGCAUCUUAACAACCCCGUUUUUGACAUACAUGCAUGCCUCCUCAUGUCAGCAAAUUUGAAACAUAAAAGAUAAUUUCAAUCGAUGUGAGAGUUGGGAGUAUUUUAUAGCUUUUGACCUCAUUAAUUAUGAGUAAGAGAAUAUUUCUACGUCACUAAUGAUUAAAAUGAUCACUAUAUAUAUAAAGGGUAGCAAAGUAUGUUUAACAUCAAGUCAGAAAACACAAUUUUUAGGAAAUGGGAACUCGGGGACAGGCGAGGCAAUGGCCUCAAUUGUUUUGUGCUAUAGCAUUUUUGCUUAUAGCCACCACGACCAAGGCAUCGGCUGAUGAUUAUGCCUCAGCACCACCACCAAAGUAUUCUUCUCCACCUCUUUACUACUACAAAUCACCACCUCCUCCUUCUCCCUCUCCACCUCCACCAUAUUAUUACAAGUCUCCCCCACCACCAUCUCCGUCUCCUCCACCACCUUACUACUACACGUCACCACCGCCACCAGUGCAUUCUCCCCCGCCACCUUACUACUACAAGUCACCACCGCCACCAGUGCAUUCUCCUCCGCCACCUUACUACUACAAAUCUCCGCCGCCACCAAAGCAUUCUCCCCCGCCACCUUACUACUAUAAGUCACCACCACCACCAGUGCAUUCUCCCCCGCCACCUUAUUACUACAAAUCUCCGCCGCCACCAAAGUAUUCUCCCCCGCCACCUUAUUAUUACAAAUCUCCGCCGCCACCAAAGCAUUCUCCUCCACCACCUUACUACUACAAAUCUCCACCACCACCAAACCAUUCUCCCCCACCACCUUACUACUAUAAGUCACCACCACCACCAAAGCAUUCUCCCCCACCUCCUUAUUACUACAAAUCUCCACCACCACCAAUGUAUUCUCCACCACCACCUUACUAAUACAAAUCUCCGCCAUCGCCAUCUCUAUCCCCGCCUCCAUCUUACAUUUAUAAAUUCCCACAACCAUCAUCUAUACCACCUCCACCAUGACCUCUAUCACGGUCAUUAUUGCUUCCUUACUACUCCAAGUCACCGCCAACUCCUUUAUCUCCACCUUCACCGUAUUACUACAAUCACCCCCACCUCCCAAAGACUACUACGUUCAGUAUCCCUUCUUGAAACAAGUUUAAAAUUCAAUAAGAAUAAAUUUGUUCCUUUGGUUGCCUUUUUUUUUAAUUUUUUACUAAGUUCAAUGCCCCUUCUUGAAACAAGUUUCAAAUUCAAUAAGAAUAAAUUUGUUCCUUUGGUUGCCUUUUUAUGCUUUUUUGUGUCAAUUUUUUUACAAAUAAUUUGUAAGAAGCGUUCAGUGCAUCAUUUGUCAUGUGCAAUAAAAAUCUUCUAACUUAAUGUAUCCCCAAAAAAAAAAAAAAAAAUUGUUCUAUAAGAAUUAUUCUAUUGUUUUAUCACAAAUGUGUUGUGGCGCAUAUAAUGCUCCCGGAUGAAGUAAUAUUAUGUCUUGAUGAACAAUCAUGCACAACAAUGAUCAUGUACAUAGUUCUUCCAACGUCAUGAUAAUGUCCAUGCACAUAAUAACAAACUUCUUCCUCAUAAUAUCAAAGAAAAUGAAGAUACAAGCCUCUUAUUCUUUAGUCAUUCACUCAAACAACAUUGUUUUAACUUAGGUUUUGAUCAAUCUUAAUGCUAAUAAAUGCUAACUACAUAUCAAAUACAAGAUCAACAAAAACCAGAUUUUAAAUUAAUCAGAAAAACAAACACUAGACUUAACCAAGCAGUUAAGCUUUAUUAUUCUCCCUCAGUAAAGGAUACAAAGAUGUAGGUGGAUUACAAGCUAUCACUGAAAAAAUAGAAAUCAUCUAAAAUGGUGAACAAAUGAGCUCUAAAUCUGUUGCACUCAUUUGUUCAACUAAGCAAUGAAAUUACCCUUUUCUAUUUUAACUGCUUGUCUACUUUAACACGGCAACUUUAAAUAACAACCUUCAACUUGAAAAAUUUGAGUAACCAGAGCCAUCAAUAACGGUAAAUCUUGACAAAAAUUUUAGUUUAAUUAAGGCCAUAAACAUAAUAUUAAAUAAUAAAAAAAAAAGGCCAUAAACAUAGUGUUGAAAUACCAUUAUACCUGUGAACGAACUUUUGAUGGUUAUUAAACUCAUGAACCCUCAAUUUUUGUAUUAUGAAUAUGCUCAUGGCCUAUCUUAGGUCUCCUCUAUGAACCACUUUUUUUUUAAAAAAAUUAUAUUCAUUAUGAUACUAAGGUAUAAGUAGAAGUAAAGUUCUUUUAAUAUUUUUGUAACCAGGAUGUGACAACCUAGGUGAUACGUGAAUUGGUUAUUUGCACAUUUUGCUACAUUUUUGUGAGUUUGCUUGCUGGUUUUCUCUUUGUUCCAACAAUUCACACAUAGGAUAAUCUCAUUUUAACAAAGAAAGAUACCACUAAAAUACAACAAAACAUGAUCAAUUCUAAUAUACUAGAAAACUUUUUUUUUUUGUUUGCCUUUUCAUAUAUUAGAGUUGUGUUUUUGUUAUCUUAUAGUGGCAUCUAUGCAGUUUAACUAAAUGAGAAUAUUCUCAUUUGAGAAUUAUUAAUAAGAGAGUAGUAGACAAAUGAUACCCAACUAUACUGCUUCACUAUUAACAACACAUCCAAUUGAGUAAUGAUAGAGAGUCAAUUCUAUCACCAAAUGAAAGCAAACAAAAGCUGAAAUAUUUUAGUGAAUAUCUUUAAAGUUUGAAUUAAUAAUAAAAUUGUCCCAAAAAACUGUCUUAAUGGAACUAAUGUGCGAUUUAUUUGUAGGGUGAAUAAAUAUCAUUUUCCAGAAAAAAAUAUAGUCAAAAUAUGGAAAGCUUGUUCUGCAAGUGGUUGAUAUUGAUGUACAUUAAUGUCAAAGAUACAUUAAGUGCAUGCCAAAUUCUAUUAUAAAAUUUAUAAAUGUAUAAGUAGAAGAUUUUAUAAAUUAAUUCCUGUAAAACGUCGGUUAUAUGAAUAAAUGGUGAAGAGAAAGCUGUAAUAAUUAUCGUAAUUACAAUUUUCUUGAGCACGCUUUGACGUACGAUUAACAAAAAAGGUCUGUAUAUGAGCAAUCGGCCGUACAUUAUCUUAACCACCUGAUUUUGUUUUUUUUUUUUGUAAUUUCAAUCUUGGCCGUUGGAGUCAAUGAAAAGAUCGUUCAAAUGGUAGAGAUUUGUCUAUUUGAUUAUUAACAUUAUGCUUCCCGAUGGUUAUCAAAAACCCAAACAAAUUAAAGAGUUAAAACUUUUAGCACAUAAGUCCGAAUUGUUUCAAAUUUAUGUUGUUUAAUCACUAGUGAGUCUCAAAAAAUAAAUUUAUUUUAAUAUUAUAUAUUUUAUUUAAAAGAAUUAAUUUUUUAUAUCAUUUAUUUUAUUAAAAAUAAAUAUUAUUGAAUACUAAUUAUUCUCAUUUUAUUUAAUAUUAUUUAGUUAUAGGCUUAUUAUUAUAUUUAAUUGUUCAAAAAACUAAAAAAAUUUAAAUAAAAUAAAGUAAUUGAUGGUUGUCGAAGCCAACAAAAAUAAAUUCCUACUCUAAAUAAAUUGUGUAUAGUGAUUGAGCAGGGUCGUGUCCACAGAGAUCGGUAAUUAUUUAAAUCCUUUUGAAACGUAAAACGUAAAAUGGGGGAAUUGUUGACAAUAAUAAAAAUCAAAUUAAAAUAACAAGAAUGCAAAUUAAAGUUGUAAUUCAAAUUGGAGAAAGCUCUGGUUGAAGGAAUUAACUCAGCUUGAUUCGACUACUGAUCAUUGAUUCAAAUAUAGAUUAUUAUUACUCAUGAAUAGACCGGUUAUAGCUACUGAGACCCUCUAAUAGCCAAUCUCUCCUUAACUAGUCGAUAACCAAGGUACGACCGUUGGAUAUUCCCUAAUCAAUAGACAACCCUAGAUACGAUCAUAGAAUUUAAUCAAUUGACAGCCUGAAAAACCAGAAAGACCCAAAUCCUAAUCAACACAUAUGAUGAUUCAUUUAAAUUAAAUUGUUUAUUCUCACAACACAACUCUCUGCUAUGUCAUUUGUCACAAACAUUAAAUUCUUCAUACGAUGAAUCCCUUAAUUGACAAUAGAUUAAGUUGAUAAUUAAAUAGUGGCCAACUGCUGUACGGCCAAGGCGGAUGUACGGUACAGCAGAAUACAUUCCCUUACUCAACUAACAAAGUCUUUCAUUUAUCUGAAAACAGUUCCAAUUUUGAAAUAUCAGUGUCAAACUUUUCCCAGCAACAUAUUUAUCAUCUCUCCACAUUAUCCUUAACUGACAGCAGCUUGGAAGAUCUUCAAUCAGCAAGUUCAGAAAGCAAUGAACAAGUACCUUCUGUUUCUGCACACACAAAUAAUCUGCAUCAACAAGAGCAUUCUNNNNNNNNNNNNNNNNNNNNNNNNNNNNNNNNNNNNNNNNNNNNNNNNNNNNNNNNNNNNNNNNNNNNNNNNNNNNNNNNNNNNNNNNNNNNNNNNNNNNNNNNNNNNNNNNNNNNNNNNNNNNNNNNNNNNNNNNNNNNNNNNNNNNNNNNNNNNNNNNNNNNNNNNNNNNNNNNNNNNNNNNNNNNNNNNNNNNNNNNNNNNNNNNNNNNNNNNNNNNNNNNNNNNNNNNNNNNNNNNNNNNNCAGCAGAAUAAAAUAUUAUUAAUUUUAUUUUUUUUAUUUUGCUAUCUUACUAAUAAUUGGCAAUAAUAAUAAUAAUAAUAAUAAUAAUAAUAAUAUCUUUAAGGUUAAUGAUUUUAUUUUCUAAUUAAUAUGGAUAAUUUUAGAUUUUUAUAAUAUAUAUGACGAUAAACACGAAAUUAAGUAUAAAACUAAUUCUCAAAAUCCGAUUUUAAAAAUCUACUUUUUCCCUACUUUUUAAAAUCUUCAGUAAGAUAAGGUAAAUUUACCAAAAGUGAUUUCUGAAAAUAUUUAUCAAAUAAUAAAAUUAAUUUGUAACUUUUCAAAAUAACUUUUAAAUCUCGCAAAAAAAAAUCCUAAAUGAGUCCUAAGUACCUAACUUUAUGACGGUCAACAAAUAUGGUAUAAAAGUCUUCUACACCUACUGGGCAUUUGAAUGGGCCAUCUGUCUUAGCUCUUACCUCUUAAAAUGGGCUAAAAAUCAGAGAGUCAGUUAACUAAUAUGGGCUAAAAUUUGGGUACACCUCUCGGGCAUGUUAAUGGGCCAUCAUCUUUCACAGGUUUCUAAAGGGUAAAGGCUUUCUGUCUCCCAAGACUUCGACUAGUGAAAUUUAAUCGAUAUAAAUAUGUAGCUACCUAUAUUUAUAUAAGAAAAUGAUGUUCUCAUAAAUUUGCGUGCAAAGAUUUGCACAAAACGGUGCGUUUUGUGCAGCUUUAAAAAUGCUCUUCGUACGUGCACCAAACAACACACAAGCACGCCAAUUCACAACAUCAUUUUCCCACUCGCGUCUGCCUCCUUUCACUGCAACAAAAACCCAGCAGCUUCGUUCUCCACACAGCAAGAAGUCUCCUUAUUAAUAUAAUAUUAUAUAAUAAACUCAACAGAAGUCUCCUUUCUUCCUCCAUUUUUCCUCACGAGAUAGCUCCGAUCUCUCUCCCUCCGUCCUCCUUUCUUCCUUACAAGACAGCUCGGGUCUCUCUCUCUGGCCUCCUUUCUCCCUCACAAGAUAGUUCGGAUCUCUCUUUCCAGUCUCCACGCCGCUAAUAGUCCCAGUUCUAACCUCUCUCGCCCCGCAGCAACCAUAAGAUCUCUCUCUCACCCGUUUCAAUUCAUUGCUCUAAUUGAAAUCUUUAACUCGUUUAGGACAUUGUGCUGAAUUACCUAUGGAUGGUGGUGGUCUUAUGCUUGAGUGUUGUAAAUUAGAAUCAAAUUAUGCAAAACCUGAUGCCUUUGGGAAUCAUGUUUAUUUCAAGCUUCUAUGUUGUGAUUUGAUUAUUUGAUGAAGCACCUGGAAAAUGUAGUUUGCUCCCUCAAAUUAUUUUACUCUGUUGAAUAAAUUGUAUUUGCCAUUAUUUGAAAAGAAUUUAAAAAAAAAUUACAGCCCCGAAACAUUGAGCUUAUGCUAUAAUUUAAGCAUCUCCCUCAUUUAUAGCACAUUUAUUUUCAUAAUUUACGCGACAAUGGAGAACGGAGCCGAGACUGUUAGUGGCAUGGGGAUGAGAGAGAAAAAUAUGAGCUGUUUCGUGAGGUUUUGUUAGGUUUCGUGAGGGAGAAAGGAGAUGGGAGAGAGAGACGCUGAGUUUUGUUGCUCCCCUCACUUGUGUGUGUUUGGUGUUAAAACUUUGCAGCAAAGAGUGGCUUUUAUACUUUGCACAAAACGCACCGUUUUGUGCAAAGUUUUGUGCAAAGUGUUGUGAGAACAUCAUUUUCCAUUUAAAUAUUGGCUUUUCAUUUUUUUUCAAAUGAGAAUUGAUCCAGUGUGCACCAUCAUGCACAGCACAAGGUAUAUUUUCAUCAGUGGGCGCUAGGUCUCAUAGAUUGGUUCUCUCUAAUAAGAACAUGUCGUCUGUUGUCCCGCGCUAGAUCGAAUGCGUUUUCAAAUUUGUCAAAUUACAUUUUGAGCAUGUCAUAGUGGACGUUAUUACAAAGUCGUCAAUCUCAAUACAAUAAUCAUGACAUCAGGUUUUGAGAAUGUGAAUAAAACUCAUAUUUAUUUGAUAAAAUAUAAUUUAAAAAUAAAAAUAAAAUAUGUAUAUUCUAUAUAAUUUGAUAAUAAAAAAUAGAAAUCUCAUUUUUAUAUUGGGUUGGGAAUGAGGAUUCCUAUUUCUUGAACUGACUUUUAUAUCUCUCUAUUUUUUUCAUAUUUUUUAAAUUAUUCUCGUUUAAAUCACAAUUAAUUUGAUUACUGCUGUACGGCCAAGGCGGAUGCAAUAGAAUUGCACCUACAAAAGUAAAACAUAAGUAAAUCACUAUUAUUAAGUGCAAAACAUUGAUAUUAAGGGAAGUAAAUAAUGCAAAACUAGUGCAUAAAUUGCACUCUAACAGUAAUCAGUAAUCAGCAUUAAAAAUUAAAUUAAAUUAAAUUUUUUUGUUUUUAAUAUUAUUUAGUUAUAGACUUAUUAUUAUAUUUAUUCGUUCAUAAAACUAAAUAAUGUUAAAUCAAAUAAAAUAAUCAGGAAUGGUUCUUAAAAAAUUAAUAUUAUUUAUUUUAUUUUAUUUAAUAUUAUUUAGUCAUAGCCUAUUAUUCUGUUUAUUUUUUGAAAAUUAAAUAAUAUUAAAUAAAAAUCCCCCCUUUUCACAAUAGAUUCCUCCCUUCAAUACUCUCUCUCUCCUCUCUUUUAGAAUUCUAUUUAAAAUAAAAUACUAAUAUCUGAAAUAUUAAAUUCGUAAUUACAAAAAUAACCAAAAAUACAAAAUACGUUAAACUAAAAACUGCAGGUCCGCAGUUGACAGCACGCGCCCACGCCUUAUCAACAAAGUUCUUCUGACGCUCAUAAUUUCUCCAAGAGAACAAUCAUCCUUAAACAUCAUCUUAUAGCUCAAUUUUAUCAUCAAUCAAUAGAAUUACACCUACAAAAGUAAAACACAAGUAAAACAUUAUUAUUAAGUGCAAAACAUCGAUAUUAAGGGAAGUAAACAAUGCAAAACUAGUGCAUAAAUUGCACUCUAACAAAUUCCCCCACACCAAGAUGAUGCUUGUCCUCAAGCAUAUAACUCAAGACUAAUCUCAAAUCUCCACUAAAUUCUCAUCUCAACUCAUCCAAAAAUAAUUUUAAGCAAGCAUACCUCAAGAAAUUAAGUCGAUCAACAUUCGAGAGACAAGGAUUUUUAAAGCAUAGAAUCUCAUAAGAUAGAAUAAGAACAUUCAACCACCAAGAAGAUCCAUUCAAAAUUCAAGUGCAACAAGAUGUAAUAGCCCUCUCAAUAACUUCACUCCAUGCACUCAAAGUGUUUAGGGUAUCAUUUAUGCACUCAAAUCAAAUCAAAGAAUGCUAUUACCAUAAGCUUGCUCAUAUAUCACAUCUCAAUCCACAAAACAUGAAUAAAAUGAAAAAAUCUAAGGGUCUUAAAAGGGUUGUAAUGGGGUUAAAUAGGUUAAAUGAAAAAGAAAGGUCUAUGAAAGAAAAAGAGAUCAAAAUGAGAAGAAUGAACUCAUUGAAUGAACUUAUGAUAUCAAAAUGCUCCUUGGCCGUACAGCAGGAAUGGUUCUUAAAAAAUUAAUAUUAUUUAUUUUAUUUUAUUUAAUAUUAUUUAGUCAUAGCCUAUUAUUCUGUUUAUUUUUUGAAAAUUAAAUAAUAUUAAAUAAAAUAGAAUAGAAAAUGUGAGUCCUUAAAAAUAAAAAUUAUUUUUAAUAUUAUUUAUUUUAUUUAAAAGAAUAAAUUUUUUAAUAUUUUUAUUUUAUUAAAAAAUAUUAUUUAAUAUUAUCUAGUCAUAGGCUUAUUAUUAUAUUUCUUCUUUUAGAAAGUUAAAUAGUAUUAAAUGAAAUAAAAUUACAUUUUAGAAGGUCAUUAGCCAAAGCACAUAAACUUAUAAACAAAUGGAAAUAAAAAAGGUAAAUAAUAUUCAAUAAAAUAAAAUUACAUUUUAAAAGGUCACCAACCAAAGCACAUAAUAUUAUAACAAAAAUGUAAAUAAAAAAGAAAGUAAGAGAUUCAAUGAAAUUUAACAUCACAAAAGACAAUUUCAAAAAUUGGGGGUAGCUUGCAACUGUUGCAAAGUGGCUGGUUCCAUAAUUUUGAGAUAAUGUUUCGGUUUCAAAUAUUGUUAUCGAUACCUAAUUAUAAGUAAUAAAAAAAUAUUGUAUAAUUUUUUUACCAACAUUUACAAUACAUUUUAUUUUGAUUUCUGAAAAAAAUAGAUAAAACACAAAUUAAUUAUUUUAACCCUCUAUUCUCUCAAUAUUUAAACUCGAAUAAUCAGUUAAAAGUUGCUCGAGAAUGUUUAAAAGCCAUUUAAGUAUACCACGUCAUUCAUGUUUUGCAAUCAUUCAAUUGUUAAUAAGUUUCCCAUGUGCUGAAAAUAAAUAAAAAUGCACGUGCAUAUGUCAUAUUGUCUCCGAAACCUCACAGCGGAAUGAGUGUAGUACUUGCAAUGCAUGUACUUUAGACUUUGUAUUUCUCUUAUUUAAAUGAUCAAUAAUUUUUCUUUGUCCUUUAAUUAGACGUCAACAGUCGAAGUUGUGGGCAAGUAGUAGGCUAUAUAUAAUAAUUUCCUGGAGAUCUUCCGUCUUCUAAGACAUUGCAAAUGCCAAACGUGAUAACUAUUUUGAUAAUUCAAAUACUACAUAAAAUAUAUGAAGUGUCAGACAAGUCAAAAGAAUUGAUUCUUCACAAUUGUAUAUACGUAUACACACACUUUGCCCAAAUCCCAUUGUAUCCAGGCUGUAAUUUUUAUAUUAAACGAACAUAUUUUAUUUUAUGUCAGCAAUAUUGAUGCAGGCUGGUGGAACAACAGCUUCAGGAUGGUCAACUACCCUUCGGAUCAUUGCAAGUGGGAUGGCAUCACUUGCAAUUCAGAUGGAACCAUAAUCGGGCUAAAAUUAUCAGGGUAUGAUGUUGACUUCAAAAGGUAGUCUUCGUAAAAUUAUCAUGGUAUAAUAUACGUAUUUAUUUUCGCAUACAUAAAUAAAUAACAAAAUUGUAAUUAAUUGGAUACAACUUCAGCUUUUGGACUGGUUUGUGAAAAUCGGAAAAAUUUAAAAAUGCUCCUCUUGAACAAUCAAAAUCUACUUUAUACGUGAACAAAGGGGAUGAUUCGUAAAGAUAAUUCAUCAAUGUUUGAUUACUUUCAGAAAGAUAGACUUCAUUUGAUCUCGUCCCAAAGCAUAAUUUCACUUUGAAUUUGAAAAAGAAUAAUGAAGUUCAUACGAUGCUGUUGUGACCUUUUUUUUUUGUUUUCUUUUUUUCUCGACGUUGUUUUGUGAAUCAUAAGGGUUAAUUUAGUACGGUGGGUUCGCUUGUAUGAAGCGUACUUAUUGUACCAUUCUGUUGCAAGUAAUGAAAAAACGCUAUAAUUUUUUUUAGGUUUCUACAAGUAUUAUGUUAUCUUAUAUCUAACUGUGCAUCUCUAUUCUUUGCUCUCAGUUCAGGUUCUCUAAAAGUAUAUUAAUUAUGAAAAGCAUUAAAGGUUCCGAAACUCUAUUUUGCGGGGAAAAAGAACCUCCAUUUUUGGUUUUUUAUUAUCAUAAGAGGUUUUACUAUGCUCGUAAUAACUUAAUCGAAAUUAAACAUAUCACUGGUCUACAUUUUUUUAUCAGAUUUUGUGCCUUGCUAAUUAAGAUGAGUAUCACCAUCAAAUCAACAAGCUUAUACCUUCAAAGAAAAAUAGACUAUAAGUCGGGAGAAAGAAGAAGAAAAAAAAAAAGAAGCUUCGCAAUUUAUGCUGUUGGUUGUGAGUUCAUGAAACAAAUAAAAAUAUGAAAUCAAACAUUUAUCCAAAAUUUAAAAUUAAAAAAAAACUCUAUAUCUACAGUAAUCUGUUCAAACCACAUAGGUGGAGCAAUAGAGUUCCAAGACGUGGUUUUAAAACAUGUCUUUGUGAUAAACAAUAUCGUGAUACUUGCGCCAAUUCCCAUGCCAAUAAUUGCCUACAUUUAUCCAAGAUCCAUGGCCAGGUUUAGAAUGUGCUAGUCUUCUUUCACUUUCAUAAAUAACCACUACUAGGUAAUCAGAGUGUCGGUCUAAAUUUUUCGGAGAUACAACGUCAAUGUAUGUGCCCGGAGUUGAAGCUGAACGCGCUUAAAUAUGUUCGGAAUUUGAAGUUGAACGCCUGGAAAAGGAUGCAGACUGAAGAAAGGCAAUUCCUGGAAUUUGUCUUUGGUAAGAAAACAUGGCUGCUUAUGCCCUUUGAAAGACUGAAGAAACCAAAUUGAUUAUUGCUGCAAUUUAGUGGCACGUGUACAAGGAGAGGCAUCCGAUUAAACUUGUUCAUAAAAUUAUUGCUGAUAGUUGCAGCCGAUCUCCAUGAAGUACAAACCCAACGCAAAGAAACAAAGUGUUCGUACAAUUUUAUCCGCCAGCAAUUUCGACCAAGAGACCUUGAUGCAGUUCAGACCAAUUCGCCAGUUGAACAUCAAGUUGCCUAGGCAUUGAGAAUUAGGUCAAUAAAAUAUAUCCUGGGUCACUUACAAAAGAUGAAAUAAGUGAAAAAGGAAAGAUGACGUAAUAAUUUCUUAGUGAGAAAAGUUAGUUAAUUUUCAAUUGCUUUCAUUGUUUUGAUAAUUUUCAAAACAUUUCAUUGCUUUCAUUGCGUAAUUAAGCUUUUUUUGCUUCAAAAUAUUUCAAAUUGUGUUUGUGGGACUACUAAACAAUUAGGACACAACAAUGUUUCGUUCUGGUCUUUUUUUUUUUUUACUUUUUAAUUUAUUUUAAGAAAAUCUUUGUCCAUCUCUCAUCCUGCCAAAUAUAUCGUCUCGUCUUGUUAUCUAGAAUAAUUCUUCAUGCAUCAAUGAGUUUUGACAAAUUUUUAUCUUUUAAAAGUUGUUGUAAUUCAAUAUAGCUAAAAUCUUAAAUACAUACAUGUAGAAUAAUCUAAGCAUUACCUUAUUCGGGGAAAAUCGAGAUUAGAAUCAAUCAAAGCAAUGAUACCUUAUAUCAGUGAGAUAUAUGCAAGACUCACCCAUUGGUACAAACGAAAAUGAUCAAAGUGGAAGCAAAAAUGGAAUCCUCAAAUGUGGUGAUAAUUUAGAUGAUCUCCACUCUCCAUUUGGUUUCAUCUAAUAAGUUAGUGUUUAAUUAAGAAUUUAUUACUCAUUUUAUUAUGAUAUUAAUCAACUGCCGUCCCUUCCAUUAGUUCAUUAUUUUUGAUGGAUUACGAAAGACAGACAAUAAAAUUCUCCAAAACUGUUGUAAGAGUAAUAUUGUAAAAGUUACAUAAAAGUGAGGAUAAGGAUAAUUUGAGGUAUGUUUCAAGAUAUAAAGAUUAAAUAAAUUCUUAACUCAAAAUAAAGAGAUUUAUUUUUUUUAAAAGAGAUUAAAAUGUCAUGAUAAAUAAAUAAGGGAGGUGAUAUUCUGGGCUCUCCCCUGGCUUUUUGUGAUAACAUCUUAAAUUAAUAUAAAUAGUUAAAAUUUUAUUAAAAAAUAAAUUUUUACCUAAUACUCUUUGACAUAGCUAGGAAUAUAGCCUACUUGCAAGAGACUUACAUUCGUUUGCACAGCCCUUUCGUGAAUAUAAAAUUGCUGCCGAAUAAGCAUCUAAUUAAAAGAAUUAGGAAUUUGUCAACGGUAUAAAUUAAAUAUAAAAAACGAGUAAAAGAAUUUGUCAAUGGGAUAUGGGGGGCUAUGGCUUCAAUCGUAGGGGUGGGCAAAUUUCGGAUUCCGAAUCCGAUCGGAUUUUGGAUAAUUCGGAUUGGGAAAAAAUCCAUCCAAAUUCAAUCCGAACCUUAAAUCUGUUUCGAUCCGAGAUAAUUUCGGAUCCGGAUCAGAUUCGGAUGAGUUUGAAUUUCAGAUUAUAUUUCAAGUUCGGAUUAUAUUUUGGAUUCGGAUUAAUUCGGGUUUGGGACCUUUUUACAAUUCUCACAAAAAAAUUAUGAAAUUUAUAAUUAAUGAAAAAUAAUUUCCAUGAUGCUGUCAACAAUAAUUAAUAUUUUGAAAACGCAAUAACGGAAUUUUCAAAAAAAAGAAAAAGAAAACACAGGAACGGUAUUGAUAAAGAAUUUUCAUUAGCCAUUUGUGACUGCUAACUAAAUUGUAACAACUAAGUAAAAUAUAAUAAUAAUAAUAAUACAUGCGGGUAUAUUCAAAGCAACUAAAUCACUUGCGAAUGAUCAAGACAAAUCGUAUAAACAAGUAAAAAAUUCAAAGUUUCAAACGCAAAUCGUCGGGGGCUAUCGGAUUAGUGGAUUACCAUUAACAAGACGAGGUUUAUGUCGGUGUGAGUUGCUCAUUGUGGGUCUGGAUGAUGUCGCGAUGGCUGGGUUUGUGCCAACUAUGAUCCAGCUAGGUUUGUAUCGAAUCUGAUCUCGUCUAGAGGACGUUGUGGCGGCUGGGUUUGUGUCGAAUUCAUUCGGUUUGUCUCGUCGGCGACAUGGUUGUUGGUUGGCUCGUCAGGUUGUGGCCCGUGGGUGUGGUGUGGUUUGUUGUCGUGGAUUGACUUAUCAAAGGGCGUGCGACGAUGGUGUGUGGUUUUGUCAUUUGGAAAUUGAGUUUUGAUUUUUCAUUUUCGUUUUUUUAAAAAAAAAUUUUUGGAUUAUUCGGAUUGAACUGAAUCUUAUCCGAUCCAAAUCAAAUCCGAUCAGAUUACAAAAAUUUCAUCCGAUUGGAUUUUAAAGCAAAUCCAAAUCCGAUCCGAACAAAUUCGGAUCGAAUUGGAUUAGAUCGGAUCUAUCCGAAUCUGAUCCAAUGUCCACCCCUAUUCAAUCGGUUUCUGCAAUGGUUAAUGGCAUAUUUUUGCUCAUCGUCACCACUGAAUCCACUGAUCAUUUGUGCAUGUGAGUUGUUUUUGAGCAUUUAUUUUUCCCUUUAGAAGCAUAAGGAUAAGGCUAGUCUUCUUUUUGGGAGGACUUAUUGCUUCCAUUCGUUAAAAUUGGGCAUGUAAAAUGUCAAGAAAAAAUGGCCUAAGUGGCUAGCUAGAUGAUAUAAUGGAUGGUUACUACUCAAACCUAGCAAUAAAUGAAUGUCCGACAAGCAUUCAAAUGAAUGAAUAAAACCAAUCAGAUUAGAAUAUCUAUUUAUGAUAGAUUAAUGAAAAUACGAUUCAAAUAUAAGGUAAAUAAUCUCUCCAUUAAUUUUUUAUUGUUUCAGGCAGGGUUGCCAAGCCUCUGUCCGGGCUUCUAUAAGCUCAAUUCCAGCUCUCCUAUAUGAUUGAAUUAGAUCGGGCUAGGCCCUCGGACUUUUUAAUUAAAAAAGGUCGAUUUUUAAGUUUAUGAAGUUAAUACACUCACGCUUAUACUUUAAUAUUUUUAUUAUUUGGCUUUUAGAAUAUUAACGUGUAAAUUACUUUUUUUUUUCAAGUGAAAUAAUUAUCACAUUUUGUCUUCUUAGUAUAUAUUUCUACCUUUUUGUUCCUAUAGAUAUUUCCUCAUUUCAUCUUUGGUACUAGAGCGUAGUAAAAAAACACAUGAUUAAAGAUAAAUAUGACAUUUUAACUAACAAAUUAAUUAUUUGUAUCUAAGAUCUAGCUCUAGUGGUAAAGAUCAAUUUUCAUCGAAUUCAAGUCUUGGGUUUGAAUUUAAAUGCAUGGGUAAGUUAAUAAUAAUAAUAAUAAUAAUAAUAAUAAUAAUAAUAAUAAUAAUAAUAAUAAUAAUAAUAAUAAUAAUAAUAAUAAUAAUAAUAAUAAUAAUAAUAAUAAUAAUAAUAAUAAUAAUAAUAAUAAUAAUAAUAAUAAUAAUAAUAAUAAUAAUAAUAAUAAUAAUAAUAAUAAUAAUAAUAAUAAUAAUAAUAAUAAUAAUAAUAAUAAUAAUAAUAAUAAUAAUAAUAAUAAUAAUAAUAAUAAUAAUAAUAAUAAUAAUAAUAAUAAUAAUAAUAAUAAUAAUAAUAAUAAUAAUAAUAAUAAUAAUAAUAAUAAUAAUAAUAAUAAUAAUAAUAAUAAUAAUAAUAAUAAUAAUAAUAAUAAUAAUAAUAAUAAUAAUAAUAAUAAUAAUAAUAAUAAUAAUAAUAAUAAUAAUAAUAAUAAUAAUAAUAAUAAUAAUAAUAAUAAUAAUAAUAAUAAUAAUAAUAAUAAUAAUAAUAAUAAUAAUAAUAAUAAUAAUAAUAAUAAUAAUAAUAAUAAUAAUAAUAAUAAUAAUAAUAAUAAUAAUAAUAAUAAUAAUAAUAAUAAUAAUAAUAAUAAUAAUAAUAAUAAUAAUAAUAAUAAUAAUAAUAAUAAUAAUAAUAAUAAUAAUAAUAAUAAUAAUAAUAAUAAUAAUAAUAAUAAUAAUAAUAAUAAUAAUAAUAAUAAUAAUAAUAAUAAUAAUAAUAAUAAUAAUAAUAAUAAUAAUAAUAAUAAUAAUAAUAAUAAUAAUAAUAAUAAUAAUAAUAAUAAUAAUAAUAAUAAUAAUAAUAAUAAUAAUAAUAAUAAUAAUAAUAAUAAUAAUAAUAAUAAUAAUAAUAAUAAUAAUAAUAAUAAUAAUAAUAAUAAUAAUAAUAAUAAUAAUAAUAAUAAUAAUAAUAAUAAUAAUAAUAAUAAUAAUAAUAAUAAUAAUAAUAAUAAUAAUAAUAAUAAUAAUAAUAAUAAUAAUAAUAAUAAUAAUAAUAAUAAUAAUAAUAAUAAUAAUAAUAAUAAUAAUAAUAAUAAUAAUAAUAAUAAUAAUAAUAAUAAUAAUAAUAAUAAUAAUAAUAAUAAUAAUAAUAAUAAUAAUAAUAAUAAUAAUAAUAAUAAUAAUAAUAAUAAUAAUAAUAAUAAUAAUAAUAAUAAUAAUAAUAAUAAUAAUAAUAAUAAUAAUAAUAAUAAUAAUAAUAAUAAUAAUAAUAAUAAUAAUAAUAAUAAUAAUAAUAAUAAUAAUAAUAAUAAUAAUAAUAAUAAUAAUAAUAAUAAUAAUAAUAAUAAUAAUAAUAAUAAUAAUAAUAAUAAUAAUAAUAAUAAUAAUAAUAAUAAUAAUAAUAAUAAUAAUAAUAAUAAUAAUAAUAAUAAUAAUAAUAAUAAUAAUAAUAAUAAUAAUAAUAAUAAUAAUAAUAAUAAUAAUAAUAAUAAUAAUAAUAAUAAUAAUAAUAAUAAUAAUAAUAAUAAUAAUAAUAAUAAUAAUAAUAAUAAUAAUAAUAAUAAUAAUAAUAAUAAUAAUAAUAAUAAUAAUAAUAAUAAUAAUAAUAAUAAUAAUAAUAAUAAUAAUAAUAAUAAUAAUAAUAAUAAUAAUAAUAAUAAUAAUAAUAAUAAUAAUAAUAAUAAUAAUAAUAAUAAUAAUAAUAAUAAUAAUAAUAAUAAUAAUAAUAAUAAUAAUAAUAAUAAUAAUAAUAAUAAUAAUAAUAAUAAUAAUAAUAAUAAUAAUAAUAAUAAUAAUAAUAAUAAUAAUAAUAAUAAUAAUAAUAAUAAUAAUAAUAAUAAUAAUAAUAAUAAUAAUAAUAAUAAUAAUAAUAAUAAUAAUAAUAAUAAUAAUAAUAAUAAUAAUAAUAAUAAUAAUAAUAAUAAUAAUAAUAAUAAUAAUAAUAAUAAUAAUAAUAAUAAUAAUAAUAAUAAUAAUAAUAAUAAUAAUAAUAAUAAUAAUAAUAAUAAUAAUAAUAAUAAUAAUAAUAAUAAUAAUAAUAAUAAUAAUAAUAAUAAUAAUAAUAAUAAUAAUAAUAAUAAUAAUAAUAAUAAUAAUAAUAAUAAUAAUAAUAAUAAUAAUAAUAAUAAUAAUAAUAAUAAUAAUAAUAAUAAUAAUAAUAAUAAUAAUAAUAAUAAUAAUAAUAAUAAUAAUAAUAAUAAUAAUAAUAAUAAUAAUAAUAAUAAUAAUAAUAAUAAUAAUAAUAAUAAUAAUAAUAAUAAUAAUAAUAAUAAUAAUAAUAAUAAUAAUAAUAAUAAUAAUAAUAAUAAUAAUAAUAAUAAUAAUAAUAAUAAUAAUAAUAAUAAUAAUAAUAAUAAUAAUAAUAAUAAUAAUAAUAAUAAUAAUAAUAAUAAUAAUAAUAAUAAUAAUAAUAAUAAUAAUAAUAAUAAUAAUAAUAAUAAUAAUAAUAAUAAUAAUAAUAAUAAUAAUAAUAAUAAUAAUAAUAAUAAUAAUAAUAAUAAUAAUAAUAAUAAUAAUAAUAAUAAUAAUAAUAAUAAUAAUAAUAAUAAUAAUAAUAAUAAUAAUAAUAAUAAUAAUAAUAAUAAUAAUAAUAAUAAUAAUAAUAAUAAUAAUAAUAAUAAUAAUAAUAAUAAUAAUAAUAAUAAUAAUAAUAAUAAUAAUAAUAAUAAUAAUAAUAAUAAUAAUAAUAAUAAUAAUAAUAAUAAUAAUAAUAAUAAUAAUAAUAAUAAUAAUAAUAAUAAUAAUAAUAAUAAUAAUAAUAAUAAUAAUAAUAAUAAUAAUAAUAAUAAUAAUAAUAAUAAUAAUAAUAAUAAUAAUAAUAAUAAUAAUAAUAAUAAUAAUAAUAAUAAUAAUAAUAAUAAUAAUAAUAAUAAUAAUAAUAAUAAUAAUAAUAAUAAUAAUAAUAAUAAUAAUAAUAAUAAUAAUAAUAAUAAUAAUAAUAAUAAUAAUAAUAAUAAUAAUAAUAAUAAUAAUAAUAAUAAUAAUAAUAAUAAUAAUAAUAAUAAUAAUAAUAAUAAUAAUAAUAAUAAUAAUAAUAAUAAUAAUAAUAAUAAUAAUAAUAAUAAUAAUAAUAAUAAUAAUAAUAAUAAUAAUAAUAAUAAUAAUAAUAAUAAUAAUAAUAAUAAUAAUAAUAAUAAUAAUAAUAAUAAUAAUAAUAAUAAUAAUAAUAAUAAUAAUAAUAAUAAUAAUAAUAAUAAUAAUAAUAAUAAUAAUAAUAAUAAUAAUAAUAAUAAUAAUAAUAAUAAUAAUAAUAAUAAUAAUAAUAAUAAUAAUAAUAAUAAUAAUAAUAAUAAUAAUAAUAAUAAUAAUAAUAAUAAUAAUAAUAAUAAUAAUAAUAAUAAUAAUAAUAAUAAUAAUAAUAAUAAUAAUAAUAAUAAUAAUAAUAAUAAUAAUAAUAAUAAUAAUAAUAAUAAUAAUAAUAAUAAUAAUAAUAAUAAUAAUAAUAAUAAUAAUAAUAAUAAUAAUAAUAAUAAUAAUAAUAAUAAUAAUAAUAAUAAUAAUAAUAAUAAUAAUAAUAAUAAUAAUAAUAAUAAUAAUAAUAAUAAUAAUAAUAAUAAUAAUAAUAAUAAUAAUAAUAAUAAUAAUAAUAAUAAUAAUAAUAAUAAUAAUAAUAAUAAUAAUAAUAAUAAUAAUAAUAAUAAUAAUAAUAAUAAUAAUAAUAAUAAUAAUAAUAAUAAUAAUAAUAAUAAUAAUAAUAAUAAUAAUAAUAAUAAUAAUAAUAAUAAUAAUAAUAAUAAUAAUAAUAAUAAUAAUAAUAAUAAUAAUAAUAAUAAUAAUAAUAAUAAUAAUAAUAAUAAUAAUAAUAAUAAUAAUAAUAAUAAUAAUAAUAAUAAUAAUAAUAAUAAUAAUAAUAAUAAUAAUAAUAAUAAUAAUAAUAAUAAUAAUAAUAAUAAUAAUAAUAAUAAUAAUAAUAAUAAUAAUAAUAAUAAUAAUAAUAAUAAUAAUAAUAAUAAUAAUAAUAAUAAUAAUAAUAAUAAUAAUAAUAAUAAUAAUAAUAAUAAUAAUAAUAAUAAUAAUAAUAAUAAUAAUAAUAAUAAUAAUAAUAAUAAUAAUAAUAAUAAUAAUAAUAAUAAUAAUAAUAAUAAUAAUAAUAAUAAUAAUAAUAAUAAUAAUAAUAAUAAUAAUAAUAAUAAUAAUAAUAAUAAUAAUAAUAAUAAUAAUAAUAAUAAUAAUAAUAAUAAUAAUAAUAAUAAUAAUAAUAAUAAUAAUAAUAAUAAUAAUAAUAAUAAUAAUAAUAAUAAUAAUAAUAAUAAUAAUAAUAAUAAUAAUAAUAAUAAUAAUAAUAAUAAUAAUAAUAAUAAUAAUAAUAAUAAUAAUAAUAAUAAUAAUAAUAAUAAUAAUAAUAAUAAUAAUAAUAAUAAUAAUAAUAAUAAUAAUAAUAAUAAUAAUAAUAAUAAUAAUAAUAAUAAUAAUAAUAAUAAUAAUAAUAAUAAUAAUAAUAAUAAUAAUAAUAAUAAUAAUAAUAAUAAUAAUAAUAAUAAUAAUAAUAAUAAUAAUAAUAAUAAUAAUAAUAAUAAUAAUAAUAAUAAUAAUAAUAAUAAUAAUAAUAAUAAUAAUAAUAAUAAUAAUAAUAAUAAUAAUAAUAAUAAUAAUAAUAAUAAUAAUAAUAAUAAUAAUAAUAAUAAUAAUAAUAAUAAUAAUAAUAAUAAUAAUAAUAAUAAUAAUAAUAAUAAUAAUAAUAAUAAUAAUAAUAAUAAUAAUAAUAAUAAUAAUAAUAAUAAUAAUAAUAAUAAUAAUAAUAAUAAUAAUAAUAAUAAUAAUAAUAAUAAUAAUAAUAAUAAUAAUAAUAAUAAUAAUAAUAAUAAUAAUAAUAAUAAUAAUAAUAAUAAUAAUAAUAAUAAUAAUAAUAAUAAUAAUAAUAAUAAUAAUAAUAAUAAUAAUAAUAAUAAUAAUAAUAAUAAUAAUAAUAAUAAUAAUAAUAAUAAUAAUAAUAAUAAUAAUAAUAAUAAUAAUAAUAAUAAUAAUAAUAAUAAUAAUAAUAAUAAUAAUAAUAAUAAUAAUAAUAAUAAUAAUAAUAAUAAUAAUAAUAAUAAUAAUAAUAAUAAUAAUAAUAAUAAUAAUAAUAAUAAUAAUAAUAAUAAUAAUAAUAAUAAUAAUAAUAAUAAUAAUAAUAAUAAUAAUAAUAAUAAUAAUAAUAAUAAUAAUAAUAAUAAUAAUAAUAAUAAUAAUAAUAAUAAUAAUAAUAAUAAUAAUAAUAAUAAUAAUAAUAAUAAUAAUAAUAAUAAUAAUAAUAAUAAUAAUAAUAAUAAUAAUAAUAAUAAUAAUAAUAAUAAUAAUAAUAAUAAUAAUAAUAAUAAUAAUAAUAAUAAUAAUAAUAAUAAUAAUAAUAAUAAUAAUAAUAAUAAUAAUAAUAAUAAUAAUAAUAAUAAUAAUAAUAAUAAUAAUAAUAAUAAUAAUAAUAAUAAUAAUAAUAAUAAUAAUAAUAAUAAUAAUAAUAAUAAUAAUAAUAAUAAUAAUAAUAAUAAUAAUAAUAAUAAUAAUAAUAAUAAUAAUAAUAAUAAUAAUAAUAAUAAUAAUAAUAAUAAUAAUAAUAAUAAUAAUAAUAAUAAUAAUAAUAAUAAUAAUAAUAAUAAUAAUAAUAAUAAUAAUAAUAAUAAUAAUAAUAAUAAUAAUAAUAAUAAUAAUAAUAAUAAUAAUAAUAAUAAUAAUAAUAAUAAUAAUAAUAAUAAUAAUAAUAAUAAUAAUAAUAAUAAUAAUAAUAAUAAUAAUAAUAAUAAUAAUAAUAAUAAUAAUAAUAAUAAUAAUAAUAAUAAUAAUAAUAAUAAUAAUAAUAAUAAUAAUAAUAAUAAUAAUAAUAAUAAUAAUAAUAAUAAUAAUAAUAAUAAUAAUAAUAAUAAUAAUAAUAAUAAUAAUAAUAAUAAUAAUAAUAAUAAUAAUAAUAAUAAUAAUAAUAAUAAUAAUAAUAAUAAUAAUAAUAAUAAUAAUAAUAAUAAUAAUAAUAAUAAUAAUAAUAAUAAUAAUAAUAAUAAUAAUAAUAAUAAUAAUAAUAAUAAUAAUAAUAAUAAUAAUAAUAAUAAUAAUAAUAAUAAUAAUAAUAAUAAUAAUAAUAAUAAUAAUAAUAAUAAUAAUAAUAAUAAUAAUAAUAAUAAUAAUAAUAAUAAUAAUAAUAAUAAUAAUAAUAAUAAUAAUAAUAAUAAUAAUAAUAAUAAUAAUAAUAAUAAUAAUAAUAAUAAUAAUAAUAAUAAUAAUAAUAAUAAUAAUAAUAAUAAUAAUAAUAAUAAUAAUAAUAAUAAUAAUAAUAAUAAUAAUAAUAAUAAUAAUAAUAAUAAUAAUAAUAAUAAUAAUAAUAAUAAUAAUAAUAAUAAUAAUAAUAAUAAUAAUAAUAAUAAUAAUAAUAAUAAUAAUAAUAAUAAUAAUAAUAAUAAUAAUAAUAAUAAUAAUAAUAAUAAUAAUAAUAAUAAUAAUAAUAAUAAUAAUAAUAAUAAUAAUAAUAAUAAUAAUAAUAAUAAUAAUAAUAAUAAUAAUAAUAAUAAUAAUAAUAAUAAUAAUAAUAAUAAUAAUAAUAAUAAUAAUAAUAAUAAUAAUAAUAAUAAUAAUAAUAAUAAUAAUAAUAAUAAUAAUAAUAAUAAUAAUAAUAAUAAUAAUAAUAAUAAUAAUAAUAAUAAUAAUAAUAAUAAUAAUAAUAAUAAUAAUAAUAAUAAUAAUAAUAAUAAUAAUAAUAAUAAUAAUAAUAAUAAUAAUAAUAAUAAUAAUAAUAAUAAUAAUAAUAAUAAUAAUAAUAAUAAUAAUAAUAAUAAUAAUAAUAAUAAUAAUAAUAAUAAUAAUAAUAAUAAUAAUAAUAAUAAUAAUAAUAAUAAUAAUAAUAAUAAUAAUAAUAAUAAUAAUAAUAAUAAUAAUAAUAAUAAUAAUAAUAAUAAUAAUAAUAAUAAUAAUAAUAAUAAUAAUAAUAAUAAUAAUAAUAAUAAUAAUAAUAAUAAUAAUAAUAAUAAUAAUAAUAAUAAUAAUAAUAAUAAUAAUAAUAAUAAUAAUAAUAAUAAUAAUAAUAAUAAUAAUAAUAAUAAUAAUAAUAAUAAUAAUAAUAAUAAUAAUAAUAAUAAUAAUAAUAAUAAUAAUAAUAAUAAUAAUAAUAAUAAUAAUAAUAAUAAUAAUAAUAAUAAUAAUAAUAAUAAUAAUAAUAAUAAUAAUAAUAAUAAUAAUAAUAAUAAUAAUAAUAAUAAUAAUAAUAAUAAUAAUAAUAAUAAUAAUAAUAAUAAUAAUAAUAAUAAUAAUAAUAAUAAUAAUAAUAAUAAUAAUAAUAAUAAUAAUAAUAAUAAUAAUAAUAAUAAUAAUAAUAAUAAUAAUAAUAAUAAUAAUAAUAAUAAUAAUAAUAAUAAUAAUAAUAAUAAUAAUAAUAAUAAUAAUAAUAAUAAUAAUAAUAAUAAUAAUAAUAAUAAUAAUAAUAAUAAUAAUAAUAAUAAUAAUAAUAAUAAUAAUAAUAAUAAUAAUAAUAAUAAUAAUAAUAAUAAUAAUAAUAAUAAUAAUAAUAAUAAUAAUAAUAAUAAUAAUAAUAAUAAUAAUAAUAAUAAUAAUAAUAAUAAUAAUAAUAAUAAUAAUAAUAAUAAUAAUAAUAAUAAUAAUAAUAAUAAUAAUAAUAAUAAUAAUAAUAAUAAUAAUAAUAAUAAUAAUAAUAAUAAUAAUAAUAAUAAUAAUAAUAAUAAUAAUAAUAAUAAUAAUAAUAAUAAUAAUAAUAAUAAUAAUAAUAAUAAUAAUAAUAAUAAUAAUAAUAAUAAUAAUAAUAAUAAUAAUAAUAAUAAUAAUAAUAAUAAUAAUAAUAAUAAUAAUAAUAAUAAUAAUAAUAAUAAUAAUAAUAAUAAUAAUAAUAAUAAUAAUAAUAAUAAUAAUAAUAAUAAUAAUAAUAAUAAUAAUAAUAAUAAUAAUAAUAAUAAUAAUAAUAAUAAUAAUAAUAAUAAUAAUAAUAAUAAUAAUAAUAAUAAUAAUAAUAAUAAUAAUAAUAAUAAUAAUAAUAAUAAUAAUAAUAAUAAUAAUAAUAAUAAUAAUAAUAAUAAUAAUAAUAAUAAUAAUAAUAAUAAUAAUAAUAAUAAUAAUAAUAAUAAUAAUAAUAAUAAUAAUAAUAAUAAUAAUAAUAAUAAUAAUAAUAAUAAUAAUAAUAAUAAUAAUAAUAAUAAUAAUAAUAAUAAUAAUAAUAAUAAUAAUAAUAAUAAUAAUAAUAAUAAUAAUAAUAAUAAUAAUAAUAAUAAUAAUAAUAAUAAUAAUAAUAAUAAUAAUAAUAAUAAUAAUAAUAAUAAUAAUAAUAAUAAUAAUAAUAAUAAUAAUAAUAAUAAUAAUAAUAAUAAUAAUAAUAAUAAUAAUAAUAAUAAUAAUAAUAAUAAUAAUAAUAAUAAUAAUAAUAAUAAUAAUAAUAAUAAUAAUAAUAAUAAUAAUAAUAAUAAUAAUAAUAAUAAUAAUAAUAAUAAUAAUAAUAAUAAUAAUAAUAAUAAUAAUAAUAAUAAUAAUAAUAAUAAUAAUAAUAAUAAUAAUAAUAAUAAUAAUAAUAAUAAUAAUAAUAAUAAUAAUAAUAAUAAUAAUAAUAAUAAUAAUAAUAAUAAUAAUAAUAAUAAUAAUAAUAAUAAUAAUAAUAAUAAUAAUAAUAAUAAUAAUAAUAAUAAUAAUAAUAAUAAUAAUAAUAAUAAUAAUAAUAAUAAUAAUAAUAAUAAUAAUAAUAAUAAUAAUAAUAAUAAUAAUAAUAAUAAUAAUAAUAAUAAUAAUAAUAAUAAUAAUAAUAAUAAUAAUAAUAAUAAUAAUAAUAAUAAUAAUAAUAAUAAUAAUAAUAAUAAUAAUAAUAAUAAUAAUAAUAAUAAUAAUAAUAAUAAUAAUAAUAAUAAUAAUAAUAAUAAUAAUAAUAAUAAUAAUAAUAAUAAUAAUAAUAAUAAUAAUAAUAAUAAUAAUAAUAAUAAUAAUAAUAAUAAUAAUAAUAAUAAUAAUAAUAAUAAUAAUAAUAAUAAUAAUAAUAAUAAUAAUAAUAAUAAUAAUAAUAAUAAUAAUAAUAAUAAUAAUAAUAAUAAUAAUAAUAAUAAUAAUAAUAAUAAUAAUAAUAAUAAUAAUAAUAAUAAUAAUAAUAAUAAUAAUAAUAAUAAUAAUAAUAAUAAUAAUAAUAAUAAUAAUAAUAAUAAUAAUAAUAAUAAUAAUAAUAAUAAUAAUAAUAAUAAUAAUAAUAAUAAUAAUAAUAAUAAUAAUAAUAAUAAUAAUAAUAAUAAUAAUAAUAAUAAUAAUAAUAAUAAUAAUAAUAAUAAUAAUAAUAAUAAUAAUAAUAAUAAUAAUAAUAAUAAUAAUAAUAAUAAUAAUAAUAAUAAUAAUAAUAAUAAUAAUAAUAAUAAUAAUAAUAAUAAUAAUAAUAAUAAUAAUAAUAAUAAUAAUAAUAAUAAUAAUAAUAAUAAUAAUAAUAAUAAUAAUAAUAAUAAUAAUAAUAAUAAUAAUAAUAAUAAUAAUAAUAAUAAUAAUAAUAAUAAUAAUAAUAAUAAUAAUAAUAAUAAUAAUAAUAAUAAUAAUAAUAAUAAUAAUAAUAAUAAUAAUAAUAAUAAUAAUAAUAAUAAUAAUAAUAAUAAUAAUAAUAAUAAUAAUAAUAAUAAUAAUAAUAAUAAUAAUAAUAAUAAUAAUAAUAAUAAUAAUAAUAAUAAUAAUAAUAAUAAUAAUAAUAAUAAUAAUAAUAAUAAUAAUAAUAAUAAUAAUAAUAAUAAUAAUAAUAAUAAUAAUAAUAAUAAUAAUAAUAAUAAUAAUAAUAAUAAUAAUAAUAAUAAUAAUAAUAAUAAUAAUAAUAAUAAUAAUAAUAAUAAUAAUAAUAAUAAUAAUAAUAAUAAUAAUAAUAAUAAUAAUAAUAAUAAUAAUAAUAAUAAUAAUAAUAAUAAUAAUAAUAAUAAUAAUAAUAAUAAUAAUAAUAAUAAUAAUAAUAAUAAUAAUAAUAAUAAUAAUAAUAAUAAUAAUAAUAAUAAUAAUAAUAAUAAUAAUAAUAAUAAUAAUAAUAAUAAUAAUAAUAAUAAUAAUAAUAAUAAUAAUAAUAAUAAUAAUAAUAAUAAUAAUAAUAAUAAUAAUAAUAAUAAUAAUAAUAAUAAUAAUAAUAAUAAUAAUAAUAAUAAUAAUAAUAAUAAUAAUAAUAAUAAUAAUAAUAAUAAUAAUAAUAAUAAUAAUAAUAAUAAUAAUAAUAAUAAUAAUAAUAAUAAUAAUAAUAAUAAUAAUAAUAAUAAUAAUAAUAAUAAUAAUAAUAAUAAUAAUAAUAAUAAUAAUAAUAAUAAUAAUAAUAAUAAUAAUAAUAAUAAUAAUAAUAAUAAUAAUAAUAAUAAUAAUAAUAAUAAUAAUAAUAAUAAUAAUAAUAAUAAUAAUAAUAAUAAUAAUAAUAAUAAUAAUAAUAAUAAUAAUAAUAAUAAUAAUAAUAAUAAUAAUAAUAAUAAUAAUAAUAAUAAUAAUAAUAAUAAUAAUAAUAAUAAUAAUAAUAAUAAUAAUAAUAAUAAUAAUAAUAAUAAUAAUAAUAAUAAUAAUAAUAAUAAUAAUAAUAAUAAUAAUAAUAAUAAUAAUAAUAAUAAUAAUAAUAAUAAUAAUAAUAAUAAUAAUAAUAAUAAUAAUAAUAAUAAUAAUAAUAAUAAUAAUAAUAAUAAUAAUAAUAAUAAUAAUAAUAAUAAUAAUAAUAAUAAUAAUAAUAAUAAUAAUAAUAAUAAUAAUAAUAAUAAUAAUAAUAAUAAUAAUAAUAAUAAUAAUAAUAAUAAUAAUAAUAAUAAUAAUAAUAAUAAUAAUAAUAAUAAUAAUAAUAAUAAUAAUAAUAAUAAUAAUAAUAAUAAUAAUAAUAAUAAUAAUAAUAAUAAUAAUAAUAAUAAUAAUAAUAAUAAUAAUAAUAAUAAUAAUAAUAAUAAUAAUAAUAAUAAUAAUAAUAAUAAUAAUAAUAAUAAUAAUAAUAAUAAUAAUAAUAAUAAUAAUAAUAAUAAUAAUAAUAAUAAUAAUAAUAAUAAUAAUAAUAAUAAUAAUAAUAAUAAUAAUAAUAAUAAUAAUAAUAAUAAUAAUAAUAAUAAUAAUAAUAAUAAUAAUAAUAAUAAUAAUAAUAAUAAUAAUAAUAAUAAUAAUAAUAAUAAUAAUAAUAAUAAUAAUAAUAAUAAUAAUAAUAAUAAUAAUAAUAAUAAUAAUAAUAAUAAUAAUAAUAAUAAUAAUAAUAAUAAUAAUAAUAAUAAUAAUAAUAAUAAUAAUAAUAAUAAUAAUAAUAAUAAUAAUAAUAAUAAUAAUAAUAAUAAUAAUAAUAAUAAUAAUAAUAAUAAUAAUAAUAAUAAUAAUAAUAAUAAUAAUAAUAAUAAUAAUAAUAAUAAUAAUAAUAAUAAUAAUAAUAAUAAUAAUAAUAAUAAUAAUAAUAAUAAUAAUAAUAAUAAUAAUAAUAAUAAUAAUAAUAAUAAUAAUAAUAAUAAUAAUAAUAAUAAUAAUAAUAAUAAUAAUAAUAAUAAUAAUAAUAAUAAUAAUAAUAAUAAUAAUAAUAAUAAUAAUAAUAAUAAUAAUAAUAAUAAUAAUAAUAAUAAUAAUAAUAAUAAUAAUAAUAAUAAUAAUAAUAAUAAUAAUAAUAAUAAUAAUAAUAAUAAUAAUAAUAAUAAUAAUAAUAAUAAUAAUAAUAAUAAUAAUAAUAAUAAUAAUAAUAAUAAUAAUAAUAAUAAUAAUAAUAAUAAUAAUAAUAAUAAUAAUAAUAAUAAUAAUAAUAAUAAUAAUAAUAAUAAUAAUAAUAAUAAUAAUAAUAAUAAUAAUAAUAAUAAUAAUAAUAAUAAUAAUAAUAAUAAUAAUAAUAAUAAUAAUAAUAAUAAUAAUAAUAAUAAUAAUAAUAAUAAUAAUAAUAAUAAUAAUAAUAAUAAUAAUAAUAAUAAUAAUAAUAAUAAUAAUAAUAAUAAUAAUAAUAAUAAUAAUAAUAAUAAUAAUAAUAAUAAUAAUAAUAAUAAUAAUAAUAAUAAUAAUAAUAAUAAUAAUAAUAAUAAUAAUAAUAAUAAUAAUAAUAAUAAUAAUAAUAAUAAUAAUAAUAAUAAUAAUAAUAAUAAUAAUAAUAAUAAUAAUAAUAAUAAUAAUAAUAAUAAUAAUAAUAAUAAUAAUAAUAAUAAUAAUAAUAAUAAUAAUAAUAAUAAUAAUAAUAAUAAUAAUAAUAAUAAUAAUAAUAAUAAUAAUAAUAAUAAUAAUAAUAAUAAUAAUAAUAAUAAUAAUAAUAAUAAUAAUAAUAAUAAUAAUAAUAAUAAUAAUAAUAAUAAUAAUAAUAAUAAUAAUAAUAAUAAUAAUAAUAAUAAUAAUAAUAAUAAUAAUAAUAAUAAUAAUAAUAAUAAUAAUAAUAAUAAUAAUAAUAAUAAUAAUAAUAAUAAUAAUAAUAAUAAUAAUAAUAAUAAUAAUAAUAAUAAUAAUAAUAAUAAUAAUAAUAAUAAUAAUAAUAAUAAUAAUAAUAAUAAUAAUAAUAAUAAUAAUAAUAAUAAUAAUAAUAAUAAUAAUAAUAAUAAUAAUAGAGAAGAGAAAAAUUAGAUCUAGGGUUUCUUUCUUUUUCUCCAAUCCAAAAAUCCCCCCUUUUCACAAUAGAUUCCUCCCUUAAAUACUCUCUCUCUCUUCUCCUCUAGAAUUCUAUUUAAAAUAAAAUACUAACAUCUGAAAUAUUAAAUUCGUAAUUACAAAAAUAACCAAAAAUACAAAACACGUUAAACUAAAAACUGCAGGUCCGCAGUUGACAGCACGCGCCCACGCCUUAUCAACAAAGUUCUUCUGACGCUCAUAAUUUCUCCAAGAGAACAAUCAUCCUUAAACAUCAUCUUAUAGCUCAAUUUUAUCAUCAAUCAAUAGAAUUGCACCUACAAAAGUAAAACAUAAGUAAAUCACUAUUAUUAAGUGCAAAACAUUGAUAUUAAGGGAAGUAAAUAAUGCAAAACUAGUGCAUAAAUUGCACUCUAACAGUAAUCAGUAAUCAGCAUUAAAAAUUAAAUUAAAUUAAAUUUUUUUGUUUUUAAUAUUAUUUAGUUAUAGACUUAUUAUUAUAUUUAUUCGUUCAUAAAACUAAAUAAUGUUAAAUCAAAUAAAAUAAUCAGGAAUGGUUCUUAAAAAAUUAAUAUUAUUUAUUUUAUUUUAUUUAAUAUUAUUUAGUCAUAGCCUAUUAUUCUGUUUAUUUUUUGAAAAUUAAAUAAUAUUAAAUAAAAUAGAAUAGAAAAUGUGAGUCCUUAAAAAUAAAAAUUAUUUUUAAUAUUAUUUAUUUUAUUUAAAAGAAUAAAUUUUUUAAUAUUUUUAUUUUAUUAAAAAAUAUUAUUUAAUAUUAUCUAGUCAUAGGCUUAUUAUUAUAUUUCUUCUUUUAGAAAGUUAAAUAGUAUUAAAUGAAAUAAAAUUACAUUUUAGAAGGUCAUUAGCCAAAGCACAUAAACUUAUAAACAAAUGGAAAUAAAAAAGGUAAAUAAUAUUCAAUAAAAUAAAAUUACAUUUUAAAAGGUCACCAACCAAAGCACAUAAUAUUAUAACAAAAAUGUAAAUAAAAAAGAAAGUAAGAGAUUCAAUGAAAUUUAACAUCACAAAAGACAAUUUCAAAAAUUGGGGGUAGCUUGCAACUGUUGCAAAGUGGCUGGUUCCAUAAUUUUGAGAUAAUGUUUCGGUUUCAAAUAUUGUUAUCGAUACCUAAUUAUAAGUAAUAAAAAAAUAUUGUAUAAUUUUUUUACCAACAUUUACAAUACAUUUUAUUUUGAUUUCUGAAAAAAAUAGAUAAAACACAAAUUAAUUAUUUUAACCCUCUAUUCUCUCAAUAUUUAAACUCGAAUAAUCAGUUAAAAGUUGCUCGAGAAUGUUUAAAAGCCAUUUAAGUAUACCACGUCAUUCAUGUUUUGCAAUCAUUCAAUUGUUAAUAAGUUUCCCAUGUGCUGAAAAUAAAUAAAAAUGCACGUGCAUAUGUCAUAUUGUCUCCGAAACCUCACAGCGGAAUGAGUGUAGUACUUGCAAUGCAUGUACUUUAGACUUUGUAUUUCUCUUAUUUAAAUGAUCAAUAAUUUUUCUUUGUCCUUUAAUUAGACGUCAACAGUCGAAGUUGUGGGCAGGUAGUAGGCUAUAUAUAAUAAUUUCCUGGAGAUCUUCCGUCUUCUAAGACAUUGCAAAUGCCAAACGUGAUAACUAUUUUGAUAAUUCAAAUACUACAUAAAAUAUAUGAAGUGUCAGACAAGUCAAAAGAAUUGAUUCUUCACAAUUGUAUAUACGUAUACACACACUUUGCCCAAAUCCCAUUGUAUCCAGGCUGUAAUUUUUAUAUUAAACGAACAUAUUUUAUUUUAUGUCAGCAAUAUUGAUGCAGGCUGGGGGAACAACAGCUUCAGGAUGGUCAACUACCCUUCGGAUCAUUGCAAGUGGGAUGGCAUCACUUGCAAUUCAGAUGGAAGCAUAAUCAGGCUAAAAUUAUCAUGGUGUGAUGUUGACUUCAAAAGGUAAUCUUCGUAAAAUUAUCAUGGUAUAAUAUACGUAUUUAUUUUCGCAUACAUAAAUAAAUAACAAAAUUGUAAUUAAUUGGAUACAGCUUCAGCUUUUGGACUGGUUUGUGAAAAUCAGAAAAAUUUAAAAAUGCUCCUCUUGAACAAUCAAAAUCUACUUUAUACGUGAACAAAGGGGAUGAUUCGUAAAGAUAGUUCAUCAAUGUUUGAUUGCUUUCAAGCGUGUCGAUUACUUUCAGAAAGAAAGACUUCAUUUGAUCUCGUCACAAAACAUAAUUUCACUUUGAAUUUGAAAAAGAAUAAUGAAGUUCAUACAAGUGCUGUUAUGACCUUUUUUUUUUUGUUUUCUUUUUUUCUCGACGUUGUUUUGUGAAUCAUAAGGGUUAAUUUAAUACGGUGGGUUCGCUUGUAUGAAGCGCACUUAUUGUACCAUUCUGUUGCAAGCAAUGAAAAAACGCUAUAAUUUUUUUAAGUUUCUACAAGUAUUAUGUUAUCUUAUAUCUAAAUGUGCAUCUCUAGUCUUUGCUCUCAGUUCAGGUUCUCUAAAAGUAUAUUAAUUAUGAAAAGCAUUAAAGGUUCCGAAACUCUAUUUUGCGGGGAAAAAGAACCUCCAUUUUUGGUUUUUUAUUAUAUGAGAUUUUACUAUGCUCGUAAUAACUUAAUCGAAAUUAAACAUAUCACUGGUCUACAUUUUUUUAUAAGAUUUUGUGACUUGCUAAUUAAGAUGAGUAUCACCAUCAAAUCAACAAGCUUAUACCUUCAAAGAAAAAUAGACUAUAAGUCGGGAGAAAGAAGAAAAAAAAAAAAAAAAGAAUCUUCGCAAUUUAUGCUGUUGGUUGUGAGUUCAUGAAACAAAUAAAAAUAUGAAAUCAAACAUUUAUUCAAAAUUUAAAAUUAAAAAAAAAACUCUAUAUCUACAGUAAUCUGUUCAAACCACAUAGGUGGAGCAAUAUAGUUCCAAGACGUGGUUUUAAAACAUGUCUUUGUGAUAAACAAUAUCGUGAUACUUGCGCCAAUUCCCAUGGCAAUAAUUGCCUACAUUUAUCCAAGAUCCAUGGCCAGGUUUAGAAUGUGCUAGUCUUCUUUCACUUUCAUAAAUAACCACUACUAGGUAAUCAGAGUGUCGGUCUAAAUUUUUCGGAGAUACAACGUCAAUGUAUGUGCCCGGAGUUGAAGCUGAACGCGCUUAAAUAUGUUCGGAAUUUGAAGUUGAACGCCUGGAAAAGGAUGCAGACUGAAGAAAGGCAAUUCCUGGAAUUUGUCUUUGGUAAGAAAACAUGGCUGCUUAUGCCCUUUGAAAGACUGAAGAAACCAAAUUGAUUAUUGCUGCAAUUUAGUGGCACAUGUACGAGGAGAGGCAUCCAAUUAAACUUGUUCAUAAAAGUAUUGCUGAUAGUUGCAGCCGAUCUCCAGACAAAAUCUUCGUACAAUUUUAUCCGCCAGCAAUUUCGACCAAGAGACCUUGAUGCAGUUCAGACCAAUUCGCCAGUUGAACAUCAAGUUGCCUAGGCAUUGAGAAUUAGGUCAAUAAAAUAUAUCCUGGGUCACUUACAAAAGAUGAAAUAAGUGAAAAAGGAAAGAUGACGUAAUAAUUUCUUAGUGAGAAAAGUUAGUUAAUUUGCAAAGGUCUUAGAUAAUCAAUUUGAUGUAAAAAUAUCAAAAUUUUUUUUAAUCAGUGAAAUAUUCAACCUCUAGUUUCAGCACUACAAAUGAAUUAAAUAGAAUAAUGAUAGAUAUUUUAAAAUUUUAUCCCAAAUGAUGUGAUAUGUAAUGUAUCAUUCAUUAAGUAGUUGAUGAUUUUUUUAUAAAUUUUAAGUGGAUUAAUUAUAUUAUUUUACCAACGAGUAAAUAAAUGUCACAUCAUUAGAGAAGAAAUUUUAAGGUAAAACUUUUCAAAUAUAUAUCACUACUCCAUUAAAUAUGGUAUAAAAAAUCUAAUAGGGACCAAAAAUAUAAAAACCCAUUAAAAAUAAAAAAUAUAAAAGUCAAUUCCUAAUUAGAAGAAUGAAAGUUUGUUUCUCCUACAAUCAUUUCACUAGAUUUUAAAUAAAUUAAUUAAUGAAAAUUUUUAAUAACAAAUCGGUGCCUAAACCUAACGUCUUUUUUUUUUUGGUCUUAUCCACGAGGUAUCCUGGGGAGGGCCCCAACUGUGGGAGGCACCUUUAAGCCCGUACCACAACCCAGACUAGAAGUCCCCGCUCGAACCGGGAGGCACAGGUUCUCCCAACAAAGGCGACUUCCCCGCGACUCGAACUGGGGAGCAAACCCAGUCAAGCCACUUAAGGGGACUCCAUUGCCAGUGGAGCCAACACUUUGUUGGUUAAACCUAACGUCUUUGACAGUGCUGCCAAUAUCACUCACAACUUACAAGAAAAUUUUGGUAUUAAAUUUAUUAAUGUUCUCAAGGAAUUUUUAGUUUGACUUUGCAUUCUCAGACCCAUUUGUCACAUAACACGUUAGCAAAGACCUUUAAUGAGAAUAUUAAAACAGCUGUCGAAUAAGCAUCUUGACGACGACUUUUUGACAUAUAUGCAUGCCUCCUUUUGUGAACAAAUUUGAAACAUAAAAGAAAAUUUUGAUCCAUGUGAGAGCUGGAGUAUUUUAUAGCUUUUGACCUCAUUAAUUAUGAGUAAGGGAAUAUUUCUACGUCACUAACGAUUAACAUGAUCACUAUAUAAAGGGAAGCAAAGUAUGUUUAGCAUCAAGUCAGAAAACACAAUUUUUAGGAAAUGGGAACUCUAGGACAGGCGAAGCAAUGGCCUCAAUUGGUUUGUGCUAUGGCAUUUUUGCUCAUAGCCACCACAACCGCAAAGGCAUCAGCUGAUGAUUAUGGCCCAGCACCAUCACCAAAGCAUGCAAAGCACCCUCCAAGCCAUUACAAGCCACCGAAACCACCAAAGCACCACGAGUCACCACCACCAUACUACUAUAACUCACCACCUCCACCAGUACAUUCUCCUCCACCACCUUAUUACUAUAAGUCUCCACCACCACCUUCUCUAUCUCCACCACCUCCUUACUAUUAUAAAUCACCACCACCACCGAAACAUUCUCCUCCACCUCCUUACUACUACAAAUCACCACCUCCUCCUUCUCCCUCUCCACCUCCACCAUAUUAUUACAAGUCUCCCCCACCACCAUCUCCAUCUCCCCCACCGCCUUACUACUAUAAAUCCCCACCACCACCAAAAUAUUCUCCUCCACCACCUUACUACUAUAAGUCACCACCUCCACCAGUGAAAUCUCCACCUCCGCCAUAUUACUAUAAAUCACCACCACCACCAAAACAUUCUCCCCCACCACCUUACUACUACAAGUCACCACCACCACCAAUGCAUUCUCCCCCACCACCUUACUAUUACAAAUCUCCACCACCACCAAAGCAUUCUCCUCCACCACCACCUUAUUACAAAUCACCACCCCCACCACCACCAAAACAUUCUCCCCCACCACCUUACUACUAUAAAUCUCCACCGCCACCAAAACAUUCUCCUCCUCCACCAUACUACUAUAAGUCACCACCUCCACCUGUAAAGUCUCCACCUCCACCACCUCACUACAAAUCACCACCACCACCAAAACAGUCUCCUCCACCACCUUAUUACUACAAGUCACCACCCCCACCAGUAAAGUCUCCACCACAGCCACCAAAGCAUUCUCCCCCGCCACCUUACUAUUACAAAUCACCACCUCCACCAAUGAAGUCUCCACCACCGCCACCUUACUAUAAAUCACCACCACCACCAAAUUCUCCCCCUCCACCUUACUAUUACAAAUCACCACCACCACCAAAGCAUUCCCCCCCGCCACCUUAUUACUAUAGAUCUCCACCACCACCAAAGUAUUCUCCCCCACCACCUUACUACUAUAAGUCACCACCUCCACCAAAGCAUUCUCCCCCGCCUCCUUACUAUUACAAAUCUCCACCACCACCUUACUAAUACAAAUCUCCACCACCACCAUCUCUAUCCCCACCUCCAUCUUCCAUUUACACCGCCACCAUCUACAUCACCUCCACCACCAUCUCCAUCAUUGUCACUAUUGCCUUCCGACUACUCCAUGUGAUCACCACCUCCCGAAGACUUCUAAGUUCAAUGUCCCUUCUUGAAACAAGUUU